rnacentral:lncRNA from 1 species
AGUUUUAAUCUUUGGAUGAAAAAUUGUAGGGUCAGAAUGAUAUUAGUCGGUUAAGUUGAAUGGUCUCCCUUAGGGUUGAGUGGUUUCCACUGGAUUAUAGUAUUUAUCCAAUGGUUAAAAAUAAUGAAGAGUUGAUCCAAAGGCUAAAAAAACUGAUAGCAACAAUAAAAUUUGCUAUAAUAGUAGCCCAGUCACUCUCUCUCUCUCUCUCUCUCUCUCUCUCUCUCUCUCUCUCUCUCUCUCUCUCUCUCUCCUCUCUCUCUCUCUCUCUCUAUAUAUAUUAUAUUUAUUAUAUUGUUUUGCUAGAAUACUAUCGUAGUAAACAGUCGAUUUACUACCAAUUAUUUUUAAUGAUAGAGCUUCCAAAUUGAUGAUCCGGUCCAUUAAAUAUGAUCUAAACUAUUUAAACUAUCUAAAAUCAAAUUUCAACAUUUUUGAUAUUGUUUUCUUGUCCAUCAAGUGAACAGAAAUAUGAAUGGCUGGAAAUGAAUAUCCUUCAAAAAGUGAUGAUACAAUUUUUAUAUUUGGAGUCUAGAGUCUAGAUCUUAUUUUAAUAGUUUAAAGAAUUUUAACAAAAUUUAGUUGAUUUAAUUCUUCUAUACCGUCAACGAGCAAACGCACCAUAUCGGCCAUUAAAAUUAUAGAUUUUGUGACACCUUUGAUCGUUCAAUUAGUGAUGCCAAAAAUCAUGAAAUUUGAUUUCUAGAUAAUUUAAAUGGUUUAGAUCAUUGUUUAAUGUACCGAUCGUCAAUUUGGAAGCUCUAUCCAAAAACAAAUUUGUAGUAAACGAACAGUUUAUACCGAUAGUAGCCCAGUCAACUCUCUCUCUCUCUCUAUAUAUAUAUAUAGUGAGGCUACUAUGUAUCGGAAGCACGGAGCUUCUGUGCUUCCAGCUCGUUUUCGAUGUUGCGACUUUCGAUCGUCGAUCGGCUCAUUAAAUUUGAUCUAGAAUAUUUGAAGUACCUAGAAAUAAAAUGAUUUUACGAUAUCAUUUGCCUAGUGAACGAAGGGGCUCAAAAUCAACGGUUGAAAUAAAAAUCUUACAAAUUAAUAAUAUUGAUAUUAAAAUUUUAAAUCAAGAUAUUGAUCUUGUUUUAUAUAGUAUAAAGAAUUUCUAUCAAAUUUCACGUGAUUUGGAUAUUUCUACACGUUAAACUUACAAACGGCUCACUACGGCUAUUUGAAUUGUUGAUUUUGAGCCCAUUCGAUCACUAGGCAAAUGAUAUCGAAAAAAUAAAAUUUAUUUUCUAAGUACUCCAAAUACUCUAGAUCAAGUUUAACGGAGACGAACGAUGAUUCGAAGUCGCAAUAUCGAAAAUGAGCUGAAGCACGGAAGGCUCCGUGCUUCCGAUAGCAUAGUAGUCUACUCUAUUAUAUAUAUAUAUAUAGUAGGCUGGUAUGCUUAUGGAAGCACGGAGCCUCCGUUCUUCCACUUUGUUUUCGAUGUUCGACUUUCGAAUCGACGAUCGCUCGUUAGAGUUGAUCUAGAGUAUUGAAGUACCUAAGAAAUAAAUUUUGUGAUUUUUCGAUAUCAUUUGCCUAGUGAUCGAGAGGCUCAAAAUCAAUAAUUUUAAUGGCCGUGGUGAGCCGGUUGCAAGUUUAACGGUUGUAGAAAUAUCCAAAUCGUAUGAAAUUUUGAUAGAAAAUUCUUUAUAUCAUAUAAAACAAGAUCAAUAACUUUGAUCUAAAAUUAUUUUCAUAUCAUCAUAUUUGUAAGAUUUUUACUUUCAACCGUUGAUUUUGAGCCACUUCGAUCACUAGGCAAAGUGAUAUCGAAAAUCGCAAAUUUAUUUCCUAGAUACUUCAAAUCUCUAGAUCAAGUCUAACGGAGCCGAUCGUCGAUUCGAAAGUCGGAAAUCGAAACAAAGUGGAAGCACGGAGCGCUCCGUGCUUCCAUAGCAUACCAGACGCACUCAUAUAUAUAUUAGGCCAUGGCUCUACUAUUAUGAGUAUUGGGCCUCGUACUCAUAAGUUGUUUUUCAAUGAUGGAGCUUCCGAAUCGACGAUCCAUGCCGUUAAAUAUGAUCUAGAGAUUUUGAAACUUCUAGAAAAUAAAUUUCGUAAAUUUUUGAAAUCAUAAUAAAGUCUAUCAAGUGGGUAUAAAAUGAACGGUUAAAUCGAACGACGUCCUAAAAAAGGAUAAUCGGAUCCUUCAAUUCAAGAUCGAAGUUAUUGAUCUUUUAUCUAUGUAAUGAAUAGAAUUUUCUAUCAAAAAUUCAACAAAUUCCGAUUCUUUUACACCUUUAAACUAACAAGUAUCCAUACCGGCCGUUAAAAAUUGUCAAAUUUGUGACCUCUUGAUCGUAAGGUAAAUGAUGUCGAAAAUUUAUAAAAUUUGAUUUCUAGAAGUUUUAAAUGCUGUAAAUAACGUUUAAAUAACGGUGUGGAUCGUCGAUUCGGAGCUCUAUCAUUGAAAAUAAUUAUAAGUCAGGGCGAUCGUACUCAUAAUAGUAUAGUAGCCGGACCUAUUAUAUAUAUAUAUAUAUAUAUAUAUAUAUAUAUAUAUAUAUAUAGAGAGGGGAUCACAUCAUUCUAACCAUAUAUUUUUCAAUCCAAGGAUUAAAAAACUAAUAACACUAAUAGCUUGUACUAUUAAUAUUCCAGUCUAGUUCUAUAUAUAUAUAUAUAUAUAUAUAAUAUAUGUUGAGUAUAAAAUAUGAAAACACCGUAAGUAAUUAAUGAUUGUUAUGCAUAGUCGUAAAAUCAGGAACUAUUUACUUACAAUUAAUGGGGAAAAAAAAAAAAUCAAUCAGUGGGUUAACUUCAACGUGGCCUUUCGCGAUUUAGCUUAUUUUUUACUUUAUCAUUUUGUGAUAUAAAAAAUUAUACUUUAUUAUCUUGCAAUUUUAUUUUAUUUUACGGGGUCAGCAUACACUAUUAAAUAAAGCAAUAAAAUUGCACUUUUACACAAUUCCUUAAUCUGUACUUUAUCCUGACAUGUGGUUUGUGGUAAGAAAAAUACUUGGGGUGCCUCAAUUUUUAAUACACCUUAUUAUGUUAUUGAUGUGUUUAGGGUUUAGUGCAUAAUGAUGGUACUUGAGCUUAAUUAUGAUAUUAUGGCCGUAGAAUUAAUGCAUAAAUAUAUGAUCCGAUCACUACUUCCUUUACUAACAAGGCCUUACAAUAAGGCGCGUUUGAUUUGCGCUAUCUUUUUAAGAUUCCUAAUAAUCCGAUAAGAAUAAAAAAAUAUGACGAUGUUUGGCUAAAGGCACUAAGUAAUCUAGUUGGUAAUAUUAGAUUUACUUGGGAAUGAAAUUCAUCCCAAAGUACUAAUCUCAUCCCCUUGAGGGAUGGUGGGUAUCCUCAUAUUAAUGGAUUGGGAUAAUCAUAAUAUGUCUAAUAUCUUUCUUUCUCUUUACCCGCCGGCUAGUUGGUUUUAUUUUUCUUUAUACUCUAACCUCAUAUCUCUCUCUAAAUUUAUUUUUUUUCUCUCUAAACUUCAAUUCUUUUUCUCUCUCUAAACUAAGCUCUCUCCCCCCCUCUUUUUCUAAAAUCGCAACUCUCUCACUCCCUCUAAUCUCGAUUCUAUUCCUCUUCCUAUUUCAUUAAUUAUGCUCUCUCUCUAACCUAUGUUCUCUCUCUUUCUUUUUUUAAAAAAAACGUUGAAAUUUUUGGUGGCAUUAUCUAAAAUUAAUUAAAAAAAAUAAAUUAAUUAAUUGUAUAUUUUUUUGUAAACUUAAAUAACAUGACUAAAUAAUAUAACCGUGCGAACCAAACACAGGAAUGCCACAUUCUUAGUAAUAGGAUGAAUAGGAAUAAGAUUCUCGGACAUCUUUUUAUUACUAGUAAUCUUUCAUAGUGCGAACCAAACGCACCCUAAAGUAUAAACUUUUAUUUCAAGUUUUUCGACAUGGUUUAAUACAUUUUUUAAACUUUAUCAUCUUAUAAUUUUUCCAAAAAAUUAUUAUUUUAUAAUUUUAUUUUUGUUUUCUCAUACUCACCCACCAUUAAGCAGCACAGCACAGCAAUGCAUUUUACAAAUUAACCAUCAUCCUAUGGUUAAUUAAUCUAUAAAUUAAUAUAUCACUUCGCUACCUUAUUUACUAGUAGAGCUUCCGUUACAGUGAAAUAAAUAAUAACAAUAAUAAUAAGACUAUACGAUAGUAUGUUAAAUAAAAAAUAUAAAAACACCGUCCUCGACUCUCUUAAGUUUCUAAAAAAUAACGAUUUUUUAAUAUAAUUUAACAUAAUAAAAUAUAAUUUUUUAAACCACAGCGGAAUAAACUGCGGUUGACCAGUAAAUGCAACCAAAGGGUGGAGACUUAAAACCCCAAUCCGUACGUUCAUAAUUAAAUAAUCAGGUUGACUCAUCAAGAGUACACACGCAAUAUAUUAUGUUUGGUGAGUUUGAAGCUUCGAAGAAGAGACAUGAUUAACUAAUUAACGAAUUAGUUAAUUAAUUAAUACCGGGGUGCUAAUUAAUGAAAUACGGCAGGUUCGUUGGAUCUUGGUUGGGUGAAGUCGGCAACGAAUCCGCGUACAUUAAUUCCAGCCCUCCUCCCCUCACCGCUCACCUUCCAACCACAUGCACCAGUGACCAGUCCAUUCCAUCCUACCUUAGCCACAAUUUGACCAUGCAACUAACUCUAGCUUACUAUAGCUUCCUAUGAGAUCGCGCAUCUCGCUGCGCGACCUUGUCAGUACAUAACAUGGUAUGAGAGCCAGUCCUAAGCCCUCUCUGUCAGUUUCGAGCGGUUUCGAGUUUGAUCCCCACGUCUCGUCACCUCUUCGGUCAGUGCACCUGGUGUGGUUUAUUUUCUACUUACUCGAUGAACUUUAGUAUAAUUUUGAAAAAUUACAAAAUUCGGAUUCUGGACAUUUCAAAUUCUCUAAUUUAACUAUAUGAGUUAUCGAUUUGGAACAAGGCCGUUAUACUUAUAAUAGUAUGAACACACACGCGAGCCUUGCGCAAAGGCUAAUCUUGAAUUAUUUGUAAUUUUUUAAAUAAUAUGGAUAUAAAUAUUAGAAUAUUAUUCUGUAAUCAACUAAUUUAUGAAGAUAAAUAGCUGUUAUAGAGUUAAAGAGGACGGCUAAACCCAUUCUGCCUGGCGAUGAAAAGUAUUUGCCGACUUCUAAUAAACUUAAGAUGUGGACUUAAAUCAGAUAGGGCGAAAUUAGAAUUAACCGGAUCGAAACUCAUCGACGUUCGACUCUUGAGGACCUCUUACUCUGAUAUCGUAAUAAAGAAAACCAUUUGCCUUCUGAACACGUAAGCUGGUAGAGAACAAUGUAUUUAAUAUUUCGUACUCAAUGGAAAGGGAAUGGCUGCCAUUCCGAAUUAAGCCAUUUCAAAGAGGGACGCUGUCCAUCGACUGCUUCAGGAAUGGCGAUCCACCUUCAUGUUAUAGCACGAAUAAAACUAACAUUUAACAUUGAAAAAAGAAAAAAAAAAGCUUUAAAUUAGUGUGCCAAUAGUUAUGAUAAGUUAAUCAGGCCUCUUAGAACUCAUCAUAAAAGUGAACGAAACGCGUUAACUCGCCUUAGAAUGAAAGUAGAAAACAACAAAUUUUUACAUGAUUUGAUCGGCCAUAUCCAGCGCAGUUGGCUAAGAACUUGUUGAUUAACAUCUGAGGUUCGAAGUUUAAAACUUAAUUACUUUAUAUUUUUAACUGAGUUCAUUUUUAAAAAAUGAAUAAAACAAAUAACUUGCUAUCUUUCUUUCUCUCUGAAAAAAAAAAAAAAAAAGAUCAUAAAGGGUUGGGAUAUUCCACUGAUAGCGAUAAGGAAAGGGUAAAGCGAAGCUCAAUAAGUUAUGCUACAUUUACAACUAUAAUUUUAUUUUAAUUAAGCUCAUAACUUGUCUCUUCAAAAGUCAAAAUUUUCAUACUUUUCAAUUUUUUCAAUAUACUAUAAAAUCUAAAAAGAAUUGUUUAAAACUGAACAACCUACUUAAAAUGGUUCGAAAGGCUCAAUAAAUGAAACUAAUAAAUGUGGAGAUAGAGUGCACAGGCGUAGGGUAAAAUUAGAAUACUUCUAGAAGCAAACAAAGUCAUCUGACUUAAUCAUCAGUUAUAUUAAACAUAAUCUAAGCUAUUUAGAUUUUCAAAAAAAAAAUUACGAUUUUUUGAUACUUGUCAAAUUCAUUUUAUAUUAGCUUUUAAAUCAUUUGAAGACUAGGAAAUUGACAUAAAGAAAUUUAUACAAUUUGAGACCUAAAAAUUUUAAUUAUAAAAUUAUAUUUAACAGCGUCGGUCAUCAAUUUGAAUGCGCAGUUUGCGAUAACGAUGCAGAAAUAAACGCUUAAAUGAUUUCAAGAACUAUUCUACCCUAACUCUCUCCCUCUCUCUCUAGAUCUCUCUCUCUCUCUCUCCAUAAAUAAUGAGAAAUAAAUAUAAAUAUGUAGACACAGUUUUGGUCAACUAUGGAUUCCUGUUUUUACCUGCACAAGCUUUGAUUCAAAGAACAUGGUGCAUUUAUUCGACUGCAGCCGCCCAGGAGCAAACCCUAACCACCCCAAUCACUGCUUCUAUUCUCUCUCUCUCUCUCUCUCUCUCUCUCUAUAUAUCCAUUUUAAUGCCAAUGCCUAUUUUGAAUAUAAACUGUAUCAAUCCAAGAACUUAUUUGUCCCUCAAAAUUUGGUAUAUAUCUGAUUUGUUUCUGUUUCCAAAUUCACUUGACUGUUAUAUGAUUUGCUCCUUAUCAGUCUAUUUUCAAUAUAUCCUUGCUCUUGAGGGUUUAUUGGAGAGAUUUUAAAUUUUAGAGUAGAUUUGAAAACUUAGUAUGUUGAAAACAUAAAUUAAUUUACCCCAUCCGAGAAAAGUUUCUUGUAAUUUUCUUUUUCUUUUUUUUUAUGUGGGUGAUUUCUCACGAUUAGGAAAGAUUGCGUUAUGUGCGUUUAAAAAGUACGAUAAAAAAAUAUUUUGUUUAUUUUCGUACGUAAAAACAUUGUAUUCCGCAUAUAGUAUUUGAGUCUAUUGCAAUAUAAUUUUUAUGGCCCUACCGAAAAGUGCAAGAUCAUAUACUUUCGCUCCGACUCUAUUUUAUCUGUUAGCUUUAGAUGGGCUUCAACACCAAAAACCAAACAAGCCAUAAGUGGAGGCUGUUGGCUUUAAUGUGCCAGCAUGCUGCCCUGUGGCGGGAGGCCAUGUUGAGCCAAAUCAUGUUCGAAAUGGCGUGAGGCUAGGUGGACUGAGUCAUGUUCGAAGUGGCGUGAGGCUGGUUCGGUCGAGUCACAAUCGAGACCCGUGGGCACUGUAUCUGUACGCUUUAAGUGAAUUGGUCGCAUAUUUCUGAGAGCUCGAGCUUUUGGGAUUAAUGGAUAGCACCAAUGAUCUGACAGAGGCUUCCCUCGGAGUUUUUAAGCCUUUUAUUUUGGAGGCCUGGAGCAAGUUUGGCUCAACUUGCCAAAAAAAGAAAAGAAAAAAAAAAGAAAAAAUAAGAUUGGAUUGGCUGAUUGGGCGGACUAGGUUGAAUUUGUUCUGUACCUAUCAAAAACUCCACCGGAGAAAAUUGACAUUGUUAGAAUAUUUAUGAAGUCAUGGUGAUAGGUUUGAAACAGAUAGAGUUUGAGUCGAGCCAAGUCGACCAUUUGAGGAGAAGUUUAGGGGGUUUGAAUCAGAAAAAUAGGGGGUAAUAAUGAAUUUCAAAUGUGCUUCUCAAAAGUUAGAAAAUAUUAAGUAUAUACUUUCAAAAUAAUUUAUAUCAUUUGUUCUCUAUAAAUUAAUAAAUUAUAUCGCGAAUGUAAUUCCCACAAUAUAUAUCCUUCCUCAUGUUGGCUAAGAAUUUUGGACUAAUUUGCCCCCAUUUAUAUCUGAUUAUAAAUAAUUUUAUAGUAUCAUGUAUGGUUAAUAAAUUUAUUUCUCAUUAAAAAUUGUCUUUAUUUUUGUUUAUAAUUUACUUUAUAUUUGUCUUUUUGGUCUACUCAAGUUUAUAUUUUCUUUAUAAUUCAAUAUUAUAUGGGCCUCACUUUGAUCUAAAUUAGUUUGAUUUUUUUUAACUAUAUGCAAUUAUGCAUUGUUUAGUUCAUUCCAAUUAAUUAGUUUCAAUUUAAUAUACAUUUAAUUAUAUUUAUAGUUUUUGAGAAAUUUUUUAAGUUAAUUAAAAAGACACAAAAAAUAGAAGCUGGGUAAAUAAAAAUUUUAUAAAAUUUUUAAAUGGAUUAUUAUCAAUAUGGGUAUUUGUGAUAGUUUUUGAAAAUUAGAAGGAUAUUUUUGACAUUAACACUGUUAAGAAAAAAAUUAUGUAAUUAAUUAAGGGUUACAGUAAGGGCACGUAUUAAAUAAAUUAUCAUAAAAAAUAAACUAUUUGAGAGUGCUAUUUGGGAACGGCCUAAUAGUUGAUGGGCCUCCAUGCAUUUUUGUGCAAUUGAACUGUAUCCUUUCGGUUUUUUUUGGAAAAAAAAUAAUAACAAAUUAUGUCCUUUUGAUUGGGUUGUGGCCCAAAAUUUAAUAAAUUAUAGGCCCAAUUUCAAGAGAUUGACACAAGAUAUUGUGUCACCACUCACCAUGAGAUUUUUGUUAAAAAAAUAAUAAAAAUAAAAAUGAAGGGUGUGUUCGAAAGUAAUUUUUUUUGGGGGCGUUAAAUUUUCGUUUUUAGUGUAAAUUAAAGAGUCAAAAAGGUAUAGAACAAUUCAUUGGGUAUGAACUAGUUUAUGAACUUCAUGAAUGAUAUGAGUUUUCUUCUUUUUUUUUUUUUUUGAGAAAAGGUAGCGAGCUACCUGAUUCAGUCAUUAAGCUAAAUGAACUGGGCGUACAUGUUGGAAGCAGCCAGGGUCUCCGGUGCGCAAAAACAGGGAAGGAGUAAGACAAAAUCAAAAGAAAUCGAAAGAAACAAAACAGAUCAGGAAAGCGAGCGAGAGAGGUAGGAACAGUUCACAAAAAAUUCCGCCAAGUUGUCACUAGGAGUUUGGCGCGAUCGAGGGCUCGGACUGCAUCAGGGGCCUUUAAAUUGAAGAUAAAAUAGUUUCUUUCAGUCCAGGCAACCCAUCAGAUUGCCGCCAACGAAAAUAGACCUUCCGAUCUUUUUUACUGCAUCGUGAGUGUCGGAAAUAGAACUCCACAGAUUACGAACAUCGCACGGUUCUGCAUCAUGUACCUCCGAGAGUUUCUCAACGGAGAGGAGUAGGAAUCGGACGAACACGCAGUGGCCGAAGAGGCGGUCGUGGCUUUCUGUAGAUGAGGCACAGAAGACGCACUGUUGGACUACCGCCAUUCCUCUAUGGAGCAGUCUGCCGGCUAUGGGAAGUCUCUUACGUAGCAGCAGCCAGAUGAAAAUUUUAAUUUUGGAGGGAAUUCUAAGUCUCCAUAAGUGCUGGAUCGUGAGGUAAUGAUACGAGUUUUCUUUAUAUUUGUAUUUAUAUAUAUAUAAAGAGAGAGAGAGAGAGAGAGAGAGAGAGAGAGAGUCCGGCUACUAUACUCUUAUGAGCACGAUCGCCUUCGUACUCAUAAGCUGUUUUCAAUGAUAGAGCUUCCAAAUCGACGAUCCAUACUGUUAAAUAUUAUUUAGAGCAUUUAAAAUUUCUAAAAUCAAAUUUUAUAAUUUUUCGACCUCAUUUACCUUACGAUCAAAAUGUCACAAAAUUAACAACUUUUAACGGCCGGUAUGGAAUACUUACUAGUUUAACGGUGUAAAAAAAUCAAAAUCCGUUGAAUUUUUGAUAGAAAAUUCUAUUCACUGUCUAGAUAGAGAUUAAUAACUCUGAUUUUAAAUUGAAGGAUCCAAUCAUCUAUUUUUAGAAUAUCGUUCGAUUUUGUCCGUUCAUUAUGAAAUUUAUUUUUUAAAAGUUUCAAAUAUUCUAGACCAUAUUUAAUGGAGUGGAUCGUCGAUUCGGAAGCUUCAUCAUUAAAAACCACUUAUAAAUAUGAAGAACUUUAUACUUAUAAGAGUGUAUAUAUAUAUAGUAGGCUGGUAUGCUUAUGGAAGCACGGAGCCCUCCGUGCUUCCAUUUUGUUUUCGAUGUUCGGACUUUCGAAUCGACGAUCGGCUCCGUUAGAGUUGAUCUAGAGUAUUUGAAGUAUCUAGAAAAUAAAUUUUGUGAUUUUUCGAUAUCAUUUGCCUAGUGAUCGAAGGGGCUCAAAAUCAAUAAUUUUAAUGGCCGUGGUGAGCCGGUUGCAAGUUUAACGGUGUAGAAAUAUCCAAAUCACAUGAAAUUUUGAUAGAAAAUUCUUUAUACCAUAUAAAACAAGAUCAAUAACUUUGAUCUAAAAUUUUAAUAUCAUAUCAUCAUAUUUUGUAAGAUUUUUAUUUUCAUCCGUUGAUUUUGAGCCACUUCGAUCACCAGGCAAAUGAUAUCGAAAAAUCGCAAAAUUUAUUUUCUAGAUACUUCAAAUAUUUUAGAUCAAGUCUAACGGAGCCGAUCGUCGAUUCGAAAGUCCGAACAUCCAAAACAAAGUGAAAGCACGGAGCGCUCCGUGCUUUCAUAAGUAUACCAGACGUACUAUAUAUAUAUAUAUUUCCUAAUCUCUUGUAAUUUUAUUGUCUCAGUGUUAAAGUUUAACCACCAAAGAAUUUAGGUGACAUAGUAGAGGAAUCGAUAGAUAGUGAAUUAGUUACAUUUUUUUUUUUUUUUACUCCUUAAAGAGAAUCAAAGAAUAUUCAUGUGAUUAACGUGAGAGGGACAUGACACGUAGAUUGGGCCAUGAGAUCUCUUUGUUUUUUUGUGUACGUAGUUUCAAGUUGGUUCAGUGUUUUGAGGGGCACAGUUCCUGGUACAAUUUCAGGCAUUUUAUGAGUUCGUUAAGAUUGUUUCGAUGAUUUAUGUAAUAUAUAUAUAUAUAUAUAUAUAUAUAUAUAUAUAUAUAUAUUAUUAUAUAUAAUAUAAUAUCAGGCCAUGGCUACUAUACUAUUAUGGUAUUGAGCCUUGUACUCAUAAGUUGUUUUCGAUGCGGACUUCCGAAUCGACGAUCACCUUCCGUUAAAUAUGAUCUAAAGUAUUGAAACUUCUAGAAAAUAAAUUUCGACUCUUUGGAACUCAUAAUUCCAUCAAGCGGGCAUAAAAUGAACGGUCAAAAUCGAACGACGUCCUAAAAAAGGAUGAUCCGAUCAUUCAAUUCAAGAUCGGAGUUAUUGAUCUUUAUCUAGAUAGUGAAUAGAAUUUUCUAUCAAAAAUUCAACAAAUUCCGAUUCUUUUACACCGUUAAACUAGCAAGUACCCCAUACCGGCCAUUAAAAAUUAUCAAAUUUGUGACCUCUUGAUCGUAAGGUAAAUUAUAUCAAAAAAUUAUAAAAUUUGAUUUCUAGAAGUUUUAAAUGCUGUAAAUAACGUUUAACGGUGUGGAUCGUCGAUUCGGAAGCUCUAUCAUCGAAAACAACUUAUGAGUACGAGGGUGAUCGUACUCAUAAUAGUAUAGUAGCCGGACCCUAUAUAUAUAUAUAUAUAUUUAUUUAUUUAUUUAUUUAUUUGUUCAGGCCUAAUAAGCUUAAGCUUUAAAAUUGAAUAGGUUAUAUCAGACAUAUCACAUGCUUAGAUUUAUGUGGAUUUAUGCUAUGCAGAACUACUUUCUGAGGGUUAUCAACAAGUUCUUUCAUUACUGGAUUCAAGAUUCUUAACAUUUAUAGUUCUUAUAAUUAAUCUAGUUUUUAUAAUAUCAUGUACUAGAUUCUUCCUGCAUGCUAGUUUAAAGAGAAAAGGAUGCAUGCAAAAAGACGGCUCAAACUCGAUCGAAGCUUAAUUUCAAAACCACACAAUCCCUGUAGAAGGCAAGAACAUAGAAUAAAAGGCUCUCAUAAAACCAAUCCCAAGCCAAAACACCCUAGUAAAACCUUCAACAAAUUAAAUGCCUUACAGUUUUAUAUUUCUGUUCUAUAUAUGGGCAGAGUUUCUAGAUCUCCAAGAUAAACAGAAACGACUCAAAAAACUUACAUUUCUGUCUAUUUUGUGGUGACCGAUCUAAAUCAAGCGAAAUAAUGUGAUAUUUCGAGACAAGAUUUCACUGACCGUCCCUAGAGCAAGUGGUAAAGGUCUUGGUGGUUGGUACCCGAGGUUUCAAGUUCGAAUCCUAGUUGAUUCAUAUUUCUAGCUAAAUUUAUUUCUAAAUGAAAGAAACGAAGCGGGUAGCUUGCUACCUAUCUCUCAAAAAAAAAGAAAAAAAUCAUCCAACUUUUGAGCUCCUAGGAGGUGCUUCGUUGAGCUUCGAUCUUUUUUUUUUUUUCUUUUUUCCUGAGGCUCUAACUGUCUGUCUCAUUGUUGUUAAGUUUAUUUCUCUUUAAUAAAUGAAGCAGAUCACCUAAUGUCUUCAUGUGUAUUCAUUCGCUUCCUUCUUCAUAGUGUAAUCGGGUUGGAGUCCCUCACCGAGUUCUCGGAUGAUCUUCGAGCUCUCUGGUCAAACUUGAUGGACAUAUCUGACACCAAAAAGAGACUUUCUUCUCUGUCCCUCAUUUCAGCUAUCUGGUGGGUAGUUUGGUCGGAAAGGAACGGCUUCUUAUUUCGCGAGACCCUCCCCAAUCCUACCCGAUGUUUGGAUCGAGUUUCGCAACUUUUGGCUGACUGGAAUGCCCCUGACUCCUGACUUCCUUUGUUUUUUUUCUUUCUUUCUUUUUUCUUUUUUCUGAUUACUUUCCUUUCUCUUGUUCACACUGUUUUACUCUUUCCCCUUCGGAAGCCCUGGCUGCUUCUAUUCUGUAAGCUUAGUUCAUCCUCCUAUUGAAUGAAGCGGGUAGCUUGCUAUCUAUUUUUUAAAAAAAUAAAUCAAGCAGAUCUCCUCUUUCUCAAAAAAAAAAAAAAAAAAAAAAAAAAAAAAAAAAAAAAAAAAAAAACUCUUACAAUGGAAGGUUCAUAACAAAGAUAAAAAUGGUAGAUAAGAGAUAGCCACCACAAGCAAAACCACAACAAGCUCAUGAUUCCCUUUUACACCUCUCUUGCCUAAUAAAGAAGAUGUAUUAGCUAGUUUUCUAUAAAUAUUAAAGUAGCAUUUCUCAAUCUUUUAUUUUUUCUCUUUUUUUUGAGAGAGAAUACGUAGCAUGCUACGCUUCGUUCAUUUUCUCGAUCUAUUCUUAGUAAUACUUUUGCACUUUCGCUAUUAAAUAUAUACAGUAACACACACAAAAGAACAGAAUAUAUACAGUAAACACUUCUUGCUAUUAAAUAAAUAAUCAUACUUUUGGAAUAGUAUAUAUGCAUGUAUAAUGAUCAUACUUUUGGAUAACUACGCAAAAUUUCAAAGUUUAGGAGGAUAAUUAUGCUAAUCUAAAGUUGGAAAAAUACAUAACUUUCAAGUUAAGAUGGGAUGCAUUAGUGAAUGCCCCUAAUUUAAGAAAUAUUAUAUGUGUUGGAAUAUGAUGUUUCUCAUAUUUCUAAUAUACUUAAUUUUCUUAUUGGAUAUUCCUUACAAUAUUAGUAUGUACUUAAUUUCCUUAUGCAUGGCAAGUUGUUUUCUCAUUCUUCUUACGGGCCUAUUAAGCUAUUGUAUUAUUUGAUUUCUUUUUUAUUAUUUGGUCUUAUAUGACUCUAUUUAAAGAGGCCUUCGUGUAGUAUAAAUCAUAACAAAAGAAGUGCAAUAUAUUCCAGUUUUUCUCUUCCGUUUAUUGUUGAAUAUAAGUAUUAACAGUAGCGUGGUUCUCUGACAAUUUAAACUUUCGAAGAAAAACAAUUAUUUCAUAUAUAAUUUAUAUUUAUAUAACUCCUUGACAAAGUCUCGAGUUUUAAAAAAAGAAAAAGAAAAAGAUUGUUUCAUAUAUAUACUUUAACACAUGCACCCAACUACAUUUCAACAACUUCAUGAAUUUUUUUUUUUGAAAAAUAAAAAAAAAAUCAGGUGUUUUGAUUUUAUUCAUGUUUCUACGAGGGGGGUACCAUUCUCUAUUAUGUUUCUUGAGUUGGCAUAGCUACAUAGUUCACAUGGAAUACCUCAUCUCUUAUCAAUGCAAGGGGAAUAUGAUGUGGUCCAUAGCAUGUUUUUUGGACUAUUGUGCUCAUAAAAAUAUCGAAUCUCACUGGGGCCUUGAUUAUGUUUAAUUUUCAUUUUCCAUUCGCUUAUCGGUUAUAGUACAAUUUAUAGAUGAAAACAAAUUUACGGCUGUAGAUUGUUAUCCAAAAAAUUGAUCUAGGAUGAUACAGGCUCACGUGCAUGGUGAAUAUUAGUCAAAUAGAUAAAAAAAAAAAAAAAUGAUCUAUUACGGACCUGCUUAGAAUUUAUCUUAAUUAACUCUCUCGUCACGUGGACUGACUGAAAAGAUACAGAAAAACCAACAAAAUAAUAGACGUACAGGAAUGUAUGCCGCGUGAAGUGGCAAAUAUAGAAUUCGAAACCUCUUAGACCGGAGUUUUUGUAUGCCAGAAAUUCCAUUGUACGUGCCACAAAACUUUGCAAUUAAAGCACCUAAAUUAAUAUAAUAAGAACAUAUAUGCCCCGGAAUUAGGUAUCUCGUACAUUUGACUGAUCAAAGUCUGUUAACUAAUUAUGAAACGAUUGUUAUUUCUCUAAAAUCUUAAGUUAUUAUAGAACGGUGGAAAAGUUGAAAAGGCUCUUAGCGAGACCAGCUAUUUCUCAGCUAUUUCCGAAUGACCUAUUAAUUGCUGAGGAGGUCGCCAUACGGAGUACGUUAUGUACCGAAAAAGUAACUAUAAUUUAACAGCUAGAUCAAGAUACAUUUUAUUGCUAUGUAUAUAAAGAAAAUUAAUUAGAAAAAAAGCCACCAAAACUUUAUUCCUAAUGGUUUAAUUAGUACUGUGUGAGUAAUGAGUGACAAAAUGCCCCUCUCUCUCUCUCUCUCUCUCUCUCUCUCUCUCUCUCUAUCUCUCCCUCUAAGCUGGAAUAACAGCAAAAAAACUGAAUUAACUUCCUAUUCCAAAGCCACAAGCCAUGACCCACACUAAAGAUCCUAAAUGCCCCCUCAUGUGUCCGGAGAGAUCUAGAAAACAAAUAAAUAAGCUUGUGAGAAUGGUCUAAAUGAUCAGUCGUCGGAUCAUACGUACGAAACAACCAAGAAAUAUACAUACUUAAGUAGAUCAGAAUGAUCGAGUUGAGAUUUAGCUAGUUGUGAUGUAUAUAUCAUAAUUCCUUAAUAAGUAACUUAUUCGACGGGGAACAACCCAGAUAUAUAAAUACUUAACAAUCGACGUCCCUUAUGUUCAAAAGCCCUUAAUUAAUAUUAUUGGACCAACAAUCAGGUGAUAAAACGCCUAAUAAUCUAAAUCAUGCAAUUUCGAUCGUGCGUGCGCCUUUUAAAGUUUCAACAAAGUAAUCUCUUUACGAGUAGAGAAGGUGUGAUGGUCGCCAUAUGGUUUUUGCUCAACUAGUAAUCCAUUUAAUUACUUUGUUUGAGAAUUUUCAUAAUUUUCUCCUGAAAGAAUAUUGCAAUCGAUAGAAAUGGCGCGCUUUUGCCAAUUUUAUAAACACUUUUUUCUAAUUAACAUUGGUAUAUGUUAAUCAUAUGUAGAUACAAAACAAAUAAUAUGUAUAUAUUUCCUUCAUAAGCAAUUUUACUUGCUAGCAACUUGCCUUCAUAAAAAUAUAGCUACUAAAUAAAUGUAACAAAAUGUUAUAAGUUGGCUAUAUAUAUAUAAUAGAAACAUUUAGGUACAAAGCUACAAGUAAAAGCUCCCACUACAUGAGAUGCCUUUUGCAUUAAUUGUUGGAACCCUAACCUCCUCCUCUUGAUGGGCAAUAAUAGCUUAUAUAACAAAAAAACAUGCUUUUGAUUUUGGGUGCACUCUACACUUGAUUCCUCGUUGAAAAGACCCUCUCCAAUUCUUACCCCCAGAUAAAUAUUUGUUUGGAAAAAUUUUCUCCUCACAUUUGUUGAUACUAAUUAAACAAUCCAACUCAAAUUUUCACUUCCAAGUGAUGAAGCUUCCCUCUUGCACUCCCUAGAGAGAGGCCUGUGUUCAUAGCAAAAAAGCAAAAAGAAAAGCACAACUAAAAGAUUAGAUGAAAAAAUGAAAUGUUGAACACACAAUGUACGUUAGUGUUCACUCAAAACUGGCAUAUAUGUGAAAGAUGUAUAAAAUUGGAACAUAUUUUUUUGUACGUAGAGAAGGAUUAAGGAUAGAGUUACAUGUGAGAAACAUGUAUACCUUAGAUCAUUUGGCACAUUUUUGGUCCGAAAGGCACCGCAUAAGAUCGACUUGUGCGCGGAGAUAGAUAACAUAAUCUAAAGCCUCAUUUAGGAGAGAAAAUCCAUCUAAGGACUCACCCCCUGGUAUCAACCUUCUCAAAACUUGAGUCCUCUUCUCCACCAUUCUCCUAGCAAGAACAUCAACCCCUAAACUUUGCGGUCGAUGCGUCGUGUUCCUUCUCCUCACACAACACAUUUUAUGAGAUCUUUUUAGGAUCUUCCUACUCCUUUGGAUCUUAAAUGACUUAUAGGAGGAGUACCUGGUCAUCCUCUCAUACCCCUUCCCUAGAAUUCCCCUAAAGAGGGCCUCGCAUUGCUCCUUCUUAGCAAGGUUGGCGACUACGAUGGCGCGCGUCCAUGUCGUGUUGCCUCGAGCGAAGGCCAUCGCGACAUCCGCGGAGAGCUUGAUCGCAUUUUUCCUCUCUUGAAGACUCAUGAUCUUGGAUGAGGCAUUGGUUUCUUUGAGGCCCAAGAGCAUGUUCUUCAUGAAGGCUUGUUUGAAUGAGCUGUGGUCUUUCAUAGCUUAUUGUUGGUUGAGAGAGUAUAGGAAACAAUGGCUUGAGCUUUCUUAAUACAUAUAGAGAGAGAGAGAGAGAGGGAGAGAGUGAGAGAGAGAGAGUGUUAAGGAAGGGGAAGAGAUACUAAAGUAGCAACUUAUAUAGGAGAUAUUUGAGCAUUUCUCAUGAACUAGUGGGUUCUACAUGAAAAGCAUGGCAUGUGGCCUUAUUUGAACAUGGUCCAUAACUUUUUCUUACUUUUUUUUUUUCUCUCUCCAUUUCCUUUAUUAAUGUCACAAUUAAGAUGGCCUGCGUUUACUGUUGAGGAUGGAGGACAACAUUUAAUUAAUUAUAUGCUUUUUAAUUAACUAUGCAUACAUUAUCUCCAUUAAUUAUUUGCAUGUAAUGGUCACAUUGCGGAAUUGAUUAAGGUUGUUUGAAGAUAGAGUAGGUUUACUAUGAACUUUAACUCAAAAAAGGUUUGUGAGCUCAAGUGCAAUCGCAUGUGAUUUGAUCAAUGAGGUUGUAGUACAGAGAGGCAGAGACCAAGAAAUGCUGUGAGGAAAAUUAAUUAAAGCAAAAGUACGGGGUCUAAAAUGCAAAUAUGGGGCCCUUAGGCGUAUGAGACAUUGCACAUGCAUGCACAUGGUGCUCGAGCCCCCACUCAAGGCCAAAAAAUUUACUACUCUCACUACUCCAAGAAUUUUUAAUUAUGUUACAUAUUAAUCCUAAUUUUUUUUUUUUCAUAUAACUACAAUAUUAUUAGGAGCCCAUUUUAUAGGACAAGAAAGUAUAUACUGAACUUGUGAUGGAUUCUUAUAUAAAUGUUUGCAUAGAAAUGCACCGACCAGCACUAAUAAUUUGUUGGGUCCAAAUUAAACAAUUGAUUCAAAAUAUUUAAACUCAAUUAUUAUUACUAGAGUCUCCAGUUUUUAUAUUCUUCCUGUUCGAACCUAGACGUCCUCGUCAGAUUUCAUUUCAUUCCCUAGUGGACGAUUAUCAGAUUUCGUUAGACCUUGACGUUCUCGCUUUUCGGCCCUUGUCAGGUUUCAUUCUCUAACCCAAUAUUAUCAGGCGAUCGACAUGAGAUUAAUCUCACACUUCGAAAUGGCAAACUGACUUUAAUAUCAAUUAUAACGACCCAGUCCACUAGUACUAAUAACUUAUUGGGCCCAAACUAUUGGCCAAAAAUGCUUAAGCGCAUGUAUUAUAUAUUAUUAGAGUUUUUAAUCCUUUAUAUUUCUAAUCAUAUUUUCUUUCAUAUCUAAUUAAUGAGGGACUACUAGAGCGUCAAACACAUAAUAAAUAUAUAUGGAAGGCAACGGUACGUAAGAGUUUUAAAAAUCGAUUUAAUAGAAGCGGAUCCAAAAAUAUAUAAAACAUACUAAAUCGACCCUUGAAUUCUACAGAAGAUAUUAUGCUUAUUAAUAAUCUAAUAAUCUGCUAAUUAAAUAUCAAAUGCAUAUUCAAGUUGCAGAUUCAAUAUAUGAUUCAAGAUAUAUAUAUAUAUAUAUAGUCCAGUUACUAUGCUAUCAAUAGCACUAAGUACUUAGUGUUAUUAAGUUUUCCGCAUCUACCCUUGUAAUCAUUUUCACAUGUUAAAUUAUACUAUGCAACUAACUACCUAUUAAAUCCUAGAGGAUUACUAUUAUUUUAAGCGCACAUCCCUUCAUUCAAGGGUCGAAAAUCUAAUAGCAUAAAUAAUUUAGUAUUGUUAGUAGUAUAAUAGCCUAGUAGGGUCUAAUAUAUAGCUUCACAAGGCUAGAUCUACUCAAAUCGUUAUAUGAAUUAAAUUCUCUAUUGAAUUAGAAUGUGGCGUAUCUAUUAAAACCCGUUUAAGACGACAUCUGAAUCAACCUUUAAAAUUCUUUUUAACUUUUAUUCGACAUGAGUUGUUCAUUAUAUUUCAAUACUUAGCAUCUAAACUUCAAGUACAUUCCUCAAUUAUAAUUCUAAAAUAUAUUAGAUAUAGUUUUGCAGAUUAGGGUCAACACAUGCUAACAAAUUUGGACUCAAAAGGAGUAGAUAUCUCUUUCUCUCUCUCUCUCUCUCUCUCUCUCUAUCUCUCUCUCUCUGAAAUAUUGUUGUAAACACUAAAGUAAUUAUAUUUUUUGGUUUCUAUGGCAACAUAAACUUGAACUUUAGUGCAUAUAUUAAUAAAUAAAUUGUGCUACAAUUUUUUUAUUCUUUAUUUACUAUUUACCAAAUUGUGGGUUGAUGCAGCUUCCGGGAAUCAAGGGGAAGGGUGUGGGUGUCGUCUUAAUUUCAUCUUAAUUUCCCUCUGCACUCUCUUGUACUCAGCUUUGAGAAAAAGCAAAAAUUGUUACUCCACAAUCCACAUGGUGUCCACAUGGGCUUCCAAUAUAUAUAUAUAUAUAUAUAUAUAUAUAUAUAUAUAUAAACACGUAUAUUUAAAUUUGAGUCUGUCGAUAGACCCAUUUUUCGGCGAAAAAAUUAGCGUCCAUUUUUUUCUUUCCGUACGAAAAAUUUUAAAUAUAAGAAUAAAAAUAGAAAUAAAAACAGCAAUGAAUAUGUAAGUUCUCUAUAACAGAUUACUGAUGUGAAAAUUCUAAAAUAUAAAUUUUUCUAUUUAAUUUCAAAAGUAAGUUUUCUAUAAUAGAUUACGGGUGUGAAAAUCCUAUAAAAGAUAUUUCUAUUUUAUUUUAAAAUAUCUUUUUAGAUAUUAUCUAUUUAAUUUCAAAAUAUUUUCUUUUUAAGAUAACGGAUUUUAUUUUUCUAUUUAAUUCAAAAAUUAUUCCUAAUAGAUUUUAUUUUCUAUUUAAUUUCAAAAGUAAUUUUUCAUUAGAGAUUAUUAUUAAUUAUUUAUCAUUUAAAGCAUACUUUCUUAAUAGCGUGAUUUAUUAUUUUAAAUUUUUUAGAUACAUAUUUUGGCAAUCAUGUAAAUACGGCUAAAUUAAAAAUAAUUUAAAAAAUUAUAACUUUUUCUAAUAAUUAUUACGUGCAUUUGCACGUACAUUUACUAUGUAUAUAUAUAUAUAUAUAUAUUAUUUGUAUAUAUAUAUAUAUAUAUAUAUAUAUAUAUAUAUAUAUAUAGACUGAAAUACUGGUAAUAGCACUAAUCACUUGGUGCUAUUAAGUUUUCUAUCAUUGGAUUAAAAAAUAUGCGGUUAGAAUGAUGCGGGCCCCUAGGGUUGAGCGGUGAUUGGUUGAAUAGUAUAAUCGAACGGAUGAAAAUGAUUAAAGAGGUAAAUUUAACGGCAAAAAACUCGAUAGCACCAAAUGCUUCAUGCUAUCGAUAGUAUCAUAGCUGGAUUCUAUAUAUAUAGAGAUAGAGAGAGAGAGAGUUGGGCUAGAAUACUAUUAAUAGCAAAAUACCUUUUUUGCUAUCAAAUUUUAGUCUUUGGAUUAAUUGUUUUCAUCAUUUCUAAUCAUUGGAUUAAAUAUUAUAACUCAGUGGGGACCACUCAACCCUAAGGGAUUAAUAUCAUCCUAAUCCUACAAUUUCUCAUCCAAGGGUUAAAAACUAGAUAACAAAAAGGAUCUUUUGCUAUCAAUAGUAUUCCAGUCUAGAGUAUAUAUAUAUUGUCUCUCUUUCUUUUUCAAAAUAAUUGCAUACAACUUUCUAUAAAUAUAUCGAAUAUUAGAUAUAUUCCUACAAAGUUCAAACUUUUCAUAUUUAUCUUUGCAAAAGUCCUAACCUUUUCGAAUAUAUCCCGCUGUUAGGAUCCAUUAAAAAAUAUAGUUAAUUAUAGGUAAAAUAUUUAACUAUGAAUAAGAUAAAUUGACCUUUUUAUCUUUUUUAUAUUAUUUAUGAUAAUAGAGAAAAAAAAAGAAAAAAAUGAUUGGUGAAAAUUUUUGAAAGAAUAUUUAUGAUUGAUUCAGAGAAGAUACACUAAAGUUGAAUCCGUAUACAAUUAUAAUUACAAUGAAUUACAGCUAUAAACAACCAAACAGUGCCGGAGCUAGUAAUAGAGAAGGAGAUUUUUGGGGUCAGUUUCUCGUAAACAAAGGCUAUAUAGUAAAAAGGCCCAACAUAUCAUUGUCUAGGUCUAAUUGUACCACGUAAAUUAUAACAAGCAUGCAUCCAAAAACAAGAUACAGUUUUUCUCCCUUUUUUUUAAAAAAAUUUUUUGGUGCAAUUGAGAAUUCGAGAACAUUUUACUUCUGUGAUUCAAAAUUGCUCUAUUUUUAUGUUACCCAAAAACAUGAAUCUAAUACAAAAGCGUGCCCAAGAGGGGGAUCGGAUCUAUGACCUCAUAAGUUACAGAGUGAAGGAGUUUAGAAUUAAUUUAAUGUACGUAUUAUCUAAAUGAUCGAUCUCCUAGAAAAUAAAUCUGAAAAUAUUUUUGACAAUUUAGUUAAUCUAAUGCCAACUUAUAUGUACAUAUUUAGAGCUAUACUUUCAAAAGUCGUAGGCUUUCGAUGGAAAACUCAAAGUUUCUAUUAAAAGUUUUGAUCUCGAUUUUCAUGAUAAAUAGAAUUUUGUGUUAAAACUUUAUCUUAUUUAGAUCAUUUUAUACUAUUGAACUUACAAACAUGCCACAUUAGUUUUAAAAUAGUCAUUUUUAAGACUCUUUUAUCACUAGCUAAGUAAUAUCGAAAAAUUAUAAAAUUUAAUUUUUAAAUAGUUUUAAUAACCGUAGAUCAUGCCUAACAAAGCUGCCCAUCGAAUCGAAUAUCCUAUUAUCAAAAAUAACUUAAAAAGUAUAAAAAAAAAAUUGUACUUUUAAAAACACAUCGAUCAGACGUAAUCUACAUAUUUAUAUGGUUUUUACCUCUACAUGUUUGAAUGCUACAAAUAAAAUUUUAUUUUAUUUAUUUAUUUAUUAUUGUACUACGCUUUCUCCGAGCACGAGGAAUAUCACACGUUGCAAUUUGAGGUGCCCCGCACAUGCGUACGCUGCUAAACACAUGGAUGGGCUCCGCUCGUGUCUCCACAAAGCCAUGCACUUCUUUGGACAAAGAAUCAUUAAGAGACUAAUAUGGCACACACAUGGGUCCCAUUUUCCACUUUAGGCCCUAAAUUUGGGGGUGGCCUUUGAAAAUUUGUCAAAGUUACAAAAUUAGCUACACAUUCCACUUUGAAUAUAUAUAUAUAUAUAUAUAUAUAUAUAUAGAGAGAGAGAGAGAGAGAGAGAGAGAGAGUUUUGCUAGAAUACUAUCGGUAGUAAACGGCUCGAUUUACUACCGAUUUGUUUUUGAUGAUAGAGCUUCCAAAUUGAUGAUCGGCACCGUUAAACAUGGUCUAAACUAUUUAAACUAUCUGAAAAUUAAAUUUCACACAUUUUCGAUAUUGCUCUCUUGUCCAUCAAGUGAACAAAAAAAUAAAUAGCUGGAAAUGAAUAUCCUUCAAAAAGUGAUAAUACAAUUUUUAUAUUUGAGAUCUAGAGUCUAGAUCUUAUUUUAAAUAGUUUAAAGAAUUUUUUAACAAAAAUUUAGUUGAUUUGAACUCUUCUAUACCGUUAAACGAACAAACGCACCAUAUCGGCCAUUAAAAUUAUAGAUUUUGUGACCCUUUAAUCAUUCAGUUAGAGAUGCCAAAAAAUUAUAAAAUUUGAUUUUUAGAUAAUUUAAAUGGUUUAGAUCAUGUUCAACGGUGUCGAUCGUCAAUUUAGAAGCUCUAUCAUCAAAAACAAAUCGGUAGUAAAUCGAGUAGUUUACUACCGAUAGUAGCCCAGUCAAACUCUCUCUCUCUCUCUCUCUCUCUCUCUCUCUCUCUCUAGGCCAUGGCUACUAUACUAUUAUGAGUAUUGGAGCCCUCCUACUCAUAAGUUGUUUUCAAUGAUGGAGCUUCCGAAUCAACGAUCCACUCCGUUAAAUAUGAUCUAGAGUAUUUGAAACUUCUAAAAAAUAAAUUUCGUAAAUUUUUGAAAUCAUAAUAAAGUCCAUCAAGUGGGCAUAAAAUGAACGGUCAAAAUCGAACAACGUCCUAAAAAAAGUUGAUCGGAUCCUUCAAUUCAAGAUCGGAGUUAUUGAUCUUUAUCUAUAUAGUGAAUAGAAUUUUCUAUCAAAAAUUCAACAAAUUCUGAUUCUUUUAUACCGUUAAACUAGCAAGUAUCCCAUACCGACCGUUAAAAAUUGUCAAAUUUGUAACCUCUUGAUCGUAAGGUAAAUGAUGUCGAAAAAUUAUAAAAUUUGAUUUCUAGAAGUUUUAAAUGCUGUAAAUAACAUUUAAUGGUGUGGAUCGUCGAAUCGGAAGCUCUAUCAUCGAAAACAACUUAUGAGUACGAGGACGAUCGUACUCAUAAUAGUAUAGUAGCCGGACCCCAUUGGUUAAUAAUAUUAAUUCAAUGGUUAGAAAUGAUCAAUGAGGUUGAUGUAAAGGCUAAAAAAUCGGAAGCACCAACUACUUUAUACUUCCGAUAGCAUAUUAGCUCUACUAUAUAUAUAUAUAUAUAUAUAUAUAUAUAUAUAUAUAUAAUAUAUAUAUUAUAAUAUAUAAUAUAGUCCUGCACUAUACAUCGAUCAUCUACCAAGCCCUGUAUACUUAUUGAUUUUCUACCAAUUAGAUCUACCCUUUGAUCUUUCCAGCCGUUAGAUUAUACUAUUAAAACGCAACACCCACCAACCUAGGGGCAGUCAUAGCAAUCCAUAACCACACAUCUAUUCAUCCAACGCGGAAAAGUCCAAUAGUAACCAAGGCUUGGUACUAUUAUAGUACAGUAGCAAUAAUUCUUAUAUUAGUAUAUAUAUAUAUAUAUAGUAUAUAUUAGUAUUUAUAAUAAUACUACGCGAGGCCUCCGUGCUCCUAAGUUCGUUUGUUUAUGGUUGGAGGUUUUUCGAAUCGAUUAUCGGAUCCGUUAGACUUAAUCUAGCGUUUUGAAAUACUAGAAAAUAAAUUUUGUGAUUUUCGAUAAUCAUUUACCUAGCGAUCAAAAAGGGUUCAAAAUCAACAAUUUUUAAAUGGUUGAUGUAUACCAUUUGCAAAGUCUAACGAUAUAGAUAGGUAUUCAAAAUCAGAUUAAAAUUUAUAGAAAAUUUUUAUACUGAUUUACAGGCAAAGAUCAAUAUCUUCUGAUUCGAAAAUUUUAGGUGUAUAUCAUCACUCUUUUUUGUAGAUUUUUUUUUUCUAGUGCCGUUGAUUUGAACCCUUCUUCGAUGGGCUAGGUAAAUGAUAUCAAAAAAAUCACAAAAUUUAUUUUCUAGAUAAUUUCAAAUACGUCCGAUCAAGUUAAUGGAGCAACAUCGAUUCGGAAGCUCCAUGAUCGAAAACGGCUUAGAAACACGUUGAGCCUCCGUGCUCCAAUACACACAUGACCUACUAUAUCAUUAUAUAUUAGUAUAUUAUAUAUAUAUAGUAUAUAUAUAUAUACUAUAUAUAUAUAUAUAUAAUAUAUAUUAUAGUAUAUAUAUAGAGGCUGGUGGGCUGGGCGGCGGUUGCCAGUGAGGCACGGGGACGCAGUCUUUUGCACACCAUUUUUGUAACUCAUUGGGAUACGCAUCGAAGAUCCGGGGGGGUGCCCUAUCCGCGACUGCGCCUACGAUGAAAAGCAUCCGUUAGAUCCCCACCGUUAUCUCUCUGUCCCCUCUUCUCUCCUCUCUCUCUCUCGUCACUCUCUCUUUCUUUCUUUCUUUCUUCUUUUCCCUUUUCUUCUCCACAGACCUCACUCCCCCAGAGGCCUCCCCCUCCACCAGCACGGCCACCUCCUACUCGCCCAAGCGCCCCAAGCCCGCAUUGCUUCUCACUUUCUCCUUUCUUCUUUACUUUUUCUUUUCAUUUCUUCUCCAACAAUCUUACACCGCAUCAACCUCCCUCCUCCACACCGCCGCCCUCCCAUCAUCGCCCAACCUCGCCCACUCGUCCCCUGCGGCCUGCUCGCAUUCGAAUUGCUGGCUCGCUCGCCCCCUCGCCUACACUCUCGAUUGCUGGCUCGCUCGCCCCCUCGCCUACUUCUCAGGUUUGAUUCUUUCUUUUUCUUUUUUUUUUUAAUUUCUUGCAUAUAUUAGUUUUAAUCAAUUUUAUUUUUUUGUAGCUUGCAUCGAAAGAAAAGGAUGGUGCUACAUAUACUACAAAAGGCCAAGAAGAGACAGAUAGCUCAAGUGACUCUGUAUGAAGAUAAACUUGUAACAUGCGUAAAGAAUGGCUGAACUAGGCUUUUUGUUUGUAGUAUGUAUUUUGCUAGUAAUAACUCUGAAAUGAUACUUAUUAUCCGGAUAGUUUAACUUGUAGAAUGUUCAAGUAAUUUGGAUGAUUUAACUAAUUUGGUGAGUUGCUCUGUAUGGUUAAAUUUGAUAUAUCAUUUAGUCACUUCUUCUUGCUCUUUUAUUCCUUUAUAAAGCCCUCUUCAGGUAAAGUUUCCAUUUUUUUAAUCCUAUUCCUGCAAAAAUUGUUCAGAUACUUUUGUAUCCAACAACCCAUUUUGGGUCUGGAUGUGUUUUGUGAUGUGUGAUUACAAUUUGGUUAUGCUUGUUCCCAUGUCUUGUUGUGAAUUGUGGGUUUUGUGUUCAUGGUGAGUAGUUGUAUGAGGUUAAAUUUGAUGUAUCAUUUAAUUGUUAGUGUGACCUUGUGUGAUGUUUAUGACACAAAUUGGUAGUUCCUGUGUGUGAUUAUGGAUGGUUGGUUCUGGUCUUUUGGUUGCUUCUAUUUGCUUGUAGGUUGUAGGUAAUGAUUCGAUAAGCCGUCUGAAGUACACAUCAAAUUUGCAAGAGCUUCAGUAUGCAGAUGUCAUAAUUGAAGCCAUUGUGGAGUCUGAAGAUGUAAAGAAGAAAUUAAUUCCUGCUUUUGACAGUGCUUUUAUUGAUUAUAGGUUUAUUCUUAGUAGAAACAUGAAAUAGAAACAAAGAGAACAUCAAACAUAAGCCUACCUUGGCACUGCUUAAGUUUUUUGUUUUCCUGGCCGUAAAUUCUAUUCUGUUGAAUGUGCUGGUUGAUGGUAAUUUGUUUGUAUGAAUAUCUUGUAAACGCUAGUUGAUUCUUUGGUACCUAUCUAAGCAUUCUAUGAAGGUAUGCAAAUGGGAUUCUAACCUGUAUUUAUAUUAUUGGGGGCUGAGCAAAUGUUAUAUGUUUAUCAAUUCUAACCUCUUAACUUCCUCUAUUUUAAAUUGUUACAAAACUUAACUCUGCUUCUGGUUUACUUGCUAAAAUAGUAGUCUAGACCUCUCAUUUAAAUCUUCUAUCUAUCAAUGGACACUUGCUAAGACAUUCUCAUCUAAAUAUUAAAUGGACAAAGUGGACGAAUCACUGACUUACAACUUAAUGGAGAAGUUUUUCUGAGAAUGAGGAAACUUGACAAAUUGGUAUUUAGUGUAGAACACAAUCAAAUUAAAGAUAUAAAUUCAUACAACACAAUCAAAUUAAAGAUAUAAAUUCAUUAAUUAAAAACAGUGGUUACAAACAUAGUUCAAAUAGCCUUUAGUUACAUUAAAAUCUUCACAUACAUCAUUGCGACGAAGACAAACAGUACAACCAAAUACAACUUUAUUUUAAAAAUCCUUCUCUCUGUCUUGAUUUUUAACUCCUUUAACUCAUCUCGUAUUGCAAGAAAAUUUAUAUUGUUUAAGGAAUCAUCUGUUUGUAUUCCUGUAGAUGUGCUUCCUUCUGAUGUCACCUCAGAAUAACCCUUUUCUGAAAUAUUAAGAUCUGAAUCACACCAUCUGAAGAAUUGACAAUAAUUUCCACUUGUUUUCUUAUUAUACUUAGAGCAGCUAUAGAAAGGCCUUCCAGGAUUAGCAGAGGUACGAGAAAUUUUAACAACUGCUUCAUUGCCACAGUAGCAUAAUAUAACAUGUGAUUGUAUAUAACCCAUACUCUUCCUUCUAUUCAUUUAUUAAAUUAUCUGUAAAAAAAAUAGCAAAAUAUAAAAUGAGAUUUAAAAUUCGAAAAUAAAUAUAAGCAACAUACGUAAAUUAAGAAGAAGUAGUUUAAUUACUAUUUUAUACGAAACCAAGAAACUGCCGCCUUGCAAACCAAUUCAAACAAAGAAGCUAAGCAAGCAGAAACCAUUUUGAAUGGCAACAAUUCCAUGCAUCUGGAAAAUGAGAAACAAACUGAUUUUGGAAAGCGCCUUAUGGAUGAAAGUGUGGAAGAAAACUGCGACGAGGAAUUAGGCAAGUGCUUCGAACUUGUGUCCUGAUAUAGUUGUAGCAUGUGUUUGGGCAAGUGCUUCGAACUUGGAUUAACCUUUGAAGGUAGUGCUGUUUAUGACAUCUAAUUGAAGUGUAGUGAUUUCGUAUAUCCUUGUUCCAUGAUUCCAGUAAUAUAAAAUGAGAAGUAUAACCAAGUCUAAAAAUACUAUGGUAAUACUUGAUGGUAUAGGGCUAUGGAAUAAAAUGGUUGAGCCAAGCCAUGAUAUUGUCAUUAAUUGAAAAGACUACUUUUCUAUUAAUCGAUACUAAUCACUAAGAUAUAUAUCCACGAGAACAUCUAAAGAUUCAACAACAUGCUCACGAACAGUUCUUUUCUCAAACGAAUCUACUACUAUCUACACUCAAUGUGCUAGACAAAGUCAUAAAACAGAAUCGUGACAAAAGAUUAUCAAAAAGUAAGUGUUCAGGAAUCCGAAUAGCAGGGAUUAUGCCGUAUAUUUAACUCUGUUAAGUUAACGAUUUUCAGAAAAUAUUCGCACUAAGCAAAUGCAUAAGCAUCAGCAUACUGAAUCCAAGUAAAGCAAAACACUCAUACAAAAUUCGUCGAGAAGUUCUUACCAAUGUUUGAAAUCUUUUCAGAUUAAUCCUAAUAAACCCUCUGAGAAACACAAAACCUAGUACAUUAUUAUUCAAGUUAAAAGCUUUAAAUCACACUUCUCGCAUCUUUUUCAUCAUAUUACGAAUCGAAUACGAAUAAGUACACACAUAAAGUUGAUUUUGAGUUUUAGCCAAUUCCGUAAGAGAACCCAACACACAAGAUAGCUUCAUGAUCAAACCCACAAAAAAUUUCCUGUAUUUCAGAAUUUAUAUAAUAAAAUCUAAUUUUGUAUAAUAAAAUCUGAUUUUAUAAUAAAUCUGAUUUUGCAUAAUAAUAAAAUCUAAUUUUGUAUAGAAUAAUAAAAUCUGAUUUUGUAUAAUAAAAUCAGAUUUUAUAAUAAAAUCUAAUUUUGUAUAAUAAAAUCAUAUUUUAUAAUAAAUUCAGAAUUUGUAUAAUAAAAUCGGAUUUUUUUUUUUCAGAUUUUGGAAAAAUAGAACAACAAUUUUUUUCUAUAAUUUAUUUCACCAAAUAAUUUUUUUUUCCUGUAACUUAUUCACCAAACAACUAAAAAAAAAGAAAAAGAAAGAAUCAAACCUGAGAAGUAGGCGAGGGGGCGAGCGAGCGAGCAAUCGAGAGUGUAGGCGAGGGGGCGAGCGAGCCAGCAAUCGAGAGUAUAGGCGAGGGGGCGAGCGAGCCAGCAAUCGAGCGAGCAGGCGAGGGGACGAGUGGGCGAGGUGGGCGAGAUGGGAGGCGGGCGGGGUGUGGAGGAGGGAGGGUUUGGUGGUAAGAUCUGUGGAGAAGAAAUGAAAAAGAAAAAGAAAAAAAAAAAAGAGAGAAAGUGAGAGAGCAAGCGGGCUUGGGGGCGCUUGGGCGAGGUAGGAGGUGGGCGUGCUGUGGAGGAGGGAGGCUCUGGUGGGAGGUGAGGUCUGUGGAGAAGAAAGGAAAAGAAGAAAGAAAAGAAGAAAGAGAGAGUGAGAGAGAGAGAGAGAGAGAGAGAGAGAGAGAGAUAACAGUGGGAUCUAACGGAGCUUUUCCCUAAUUUUCAGUAAUGGGAUAGCACGGAUCUCGAUGCGAUCCAAUGGUUAUAAAAUGGGUGGCAAAUAUGACUGGGUGCUAUCAAUAGCAACCCAGCCCAACUCUAUAUAUAUAUAUAUAUAUUUAUAGUAUAUACUAUAUGAGUCCGGCUGAGGUAACUAUCGAUACCAAAAAUUUGGUGCUGAUCGAGUUUUCACACCCGUUAAGAUUUAACCCUUUAAUUCUUUUAUCGCGUGUAAAUUAUACUAUUCAACUAACCACGUCACUCACCUAAAGCAGGGCCGCACAUAUAUCCUUAACUAAUCUUAUUUCUCGACCUCAAGGGAUAAAAAAUCAAUAGCAUCAAUAGCUUGUGCAUUAAUAGAUUCGCGCUAGUCGAUAUAAUAUAUAUAUUAUAUCUAUAUAAUAUUCUAUAUAAUAGUAGAGAGAUAGGAAAAAAAAGAAAGAAGAAAAAUGGGGAAGAAUAAAGAGCAAGAAGAGAUGAGAGAGAGGAGGAGAGAGAGAGAGAGUUCGGCUGCGGAUACUAUGAUAGGCCAAUCAAACAAUUUUGUGCAUCCGAGUUUUCCACGCGUUAGAUUUGAACGCUUCUGAAUUAUUUUUGCCACGUUAGAUUAAUACUAUUCAACAACCACCCACUUCCCUUAGAGGGCCACACAUCCUAAAUUACCGCAUUUUAUCGUAAGGGCUAAAAAAUCAAUACACAAAAAUAAUAGUGGUUGGUGCUAUUGAUAGUAUUCAAGCCGUAGUUAUAAGUAUAUAAUAUACUUAGUAUAAUUAUAUAUAUAUAUAUAUAUAAUAUUAUACCCUAGUAGGCCUCUCUGUACUUUCAAAGUACGCGACCUCCGUGCUUGUAGUUGUUUCGAGUGAUAGGAUCCGAUUCGACGAUCGAUCUCCGUUAAGUAUAAUCUACCGCUAUUGGAGAAGUAUUUAGAACGCGAAAUUUUAUAAUUUUUUGACAUAUUCUAAAAGCGAUCAAAAGAGUUUGCAAAAAAUGACCUAUUUUAAUUGUGGUCCCCCCCGUGUGGCACUUUUUAAGUCGAACGGUGUAGAAGGUAUCCAAAUUAGAUGAAACAUUUAAUUAAAAUGUCUAACUUAACAUCAAAUAGUAAGACAAAUACUUCCGAUCUUGAAAUUUGAGUCGCUUUAUCACGUAGUUUUUUUGAGAUUUUCCAUUUCAGCCGGUUCGUUUUGAGGGCUUACUCGUUUACUAGACACAACAGAAGUCAAAAAAUUAUGUAAAUUUGUUCUAGUAGUUUAGAUAACGUAGAUGCAUGUCUGAACGGAUACCGGAUCCGCGAAUUGGAUGUCCUCAUUUAAUAAAGAAGAACAACUUACAGUACGAGGCUUCCGUACUUUCAAAGUAUAGGAGCUAGCUCUAUAUAUAUAUAUAUAUAAUCUAUAGAGUUGAGCACUUAGGAUAUUCUAUCGGUAAGUAAAUCGAGCCGUUUUACUAUGUUUGUUUUCGAAUGAAUGAACUUUCAAAUUGACACGACGCCCAAUUGAACCUGAUCUAUAUCACUUGAAGUGUUAUGAAAUCAAAUUUAAUUCUUUUCGACAUAUGUUUGCCUAAUGUAUCAACCGGGUUCAAAAAUUGGUAAGUUUUAAUGGUGCGAAUACGAGGCUUUUCUCGUUUAAACGGCGUAAAGAUUCCAAUCAUAACUUAAAUUUUGCUAGAAAUUCUUUAAACUAUUAACAACAGAUCUAUUACUGCUGAUUUGAUUACAAGACUCCUAUUCAUCAUUUUUUUUUUAAAGACUAUUCAUUUUCAGGCCAUUCAUUUUUCUGUUCACUGAUGGAUAAAGAGAAUAUAUCGAAUGGUAAAUCGUGAAAUUUGAGUUUCUAGGGUAUUUUAAAUAAGUUAGAUCCUAUUUACGGAGCCGAUCGUCAAUUUGGAAGCUCUAUCAUCGAAAACAAAUCGGUAGUAAAACAGCUCGUUUACUACCGAUAGUAUUCUAGCUCAACUCUAUAUAUAUAUAUAUAUAUAUAAAUAUAUAAUUGAGCUAGAAUACUUUUAGAAGCAUCAACCCCUUGGUGUUUCUAAAUUUCUAGCUUUGGAUCUACUCCUUGAUUACUAAUAGCCUUUGGAUCAAACACUAUUCCAUCUACCACCACCUAUCACCAUCAUCUCAACCCUACAUCUCUUCAUCCAAUGGCUAAAAACUCAAAAGUACCACUCUUUUGAAACAACCAGCCCAACAUCACUCGUUUUUUUUUAGGCUAAAAUAUAGAAAAUUUUUCUGUAAAUAUUUAUGUUUCACUUUUACUUUCUAACUUUAAAAAUUUAUAUUUUACCUUUUUAAAUUUUAAGUUGAUAUGUUUAGCCCACAUCUAUCAGGUCCGUCAUUAUUCCGCCUAUUUCUUAUAUUUCACAUUGAACAUAUGCUUAAAAAUGAUAAAAAUAUAUUAAAAAUUUAUUUUUUAUAUUUAACAAGGGCAAUUUGAUCUUUUUGCCCUCUCCAUUAAUGUUGUAACCCCUUCAAAAUAUUUCUAAAAUUUAAUAGGGCAAAGUAUAGGCUUUUGAAAGUCAGAUGAAAAAGUAAAAAAGCGAGUAUUUGCAAGAGAAUUUUCUAUAUAUUAGUUUUUUUUUAUUGACACCUCUUACAGAUUCUUUUUUAUAUUUUAUUUUUUUAAGUUGAGUGAUUCUAGUCAAUAUCGAUGAGUUUACCCAAUUCAAUGGUGAUUAAUUUCAUUAACCCCUUCAAUAUUAUAAUUUUUAAACGUACAUAACUUAUUACCUGAACUAUGGAUUAUUUUGAGUCGGCUACUGAACCUUUCAAUUUUUUUAUUUUACUAUCCUUAAUCUUUCAAUUUGUUCGAUUUGAGUUAGUCAACAAUUCUUUUGACUUCAAAAUUUGAAUAUAUCAUUUCUUUUUAUAUAUUUAGUUAAUACACUUUAUAUAAUUCUCACAACUAUAAAACAUAACUAAUAAGAAUAGUUCAAAUCAUAAAAGUUAGAAGUUAAAGAGUGGGGAAAAAAGUGCAUCUAUUUAAGGGGUUUAUUUAACAAUUCUCUAUACUUGAGGGGGAUCUCCACACAUUUUUACUUUUUUAAAAAAAUUAAAUAAAGGUGAUUUGUUUUAUCUGUGACAUCAAAAGCCCAAUUGCCAAUUUAAUUACUCCCCUUAUGUCCAUUUCCCUUGAAACAUGGGAGAGGCUUGUCAACUUGUUCUAUGAACAAAUAACCCAUUCAAGUUCCGUGUACUUGGUGUUUAACAAAUGUUCAAGUUCCGUGUACUUGCAUUGUUGUAUAAUGUAUUCUCUUUGUCAUGUAGUAUUUGUUUAUGUGCCUCUUAAAGAUCUUAAUCCCUAUGAAGAUUCAAACAGAUAUUUAAUGGAGUUAUAAAAUGAGUGACCAAAGAUACAUUGAACAUGUGCUUGUUGUGGGGUUUUUUUUUGGUACAAGUUUCCUGUUAUUAGUAGGUGAGGUAACAUAUGCCUAACAUCUAAUUUUCUUUUGAUCAAUGUGUAGAAAAGAUAAAAUAAAUUGAUAUAAGGGUUAAUUGCACCAUUGGUUCCCAAUCUUUAUCUGCAUUUUCAUUCUGGUCCCUUUUCCACAAUUGGUCCAUAGCCUUUACCUUCUUUUUUUUUUUUUCAUUUAUCUGAAUUUGUAUGAAAGUAGGUAGGACUUUACAGGAGCUGGCUCGGCCUUUUCCAUUAAAAUUAACAAAAAUUUUGUAUAAUUGAGACCUCGUAGCAAAAAAAAAAAAAAAAAAGUAGAAAAAAAAAAAAAAAAAAAAAAAAAGAUUAGGAACCAAAGUAAAAAAAAGGAAAAAAAAAUGUAAAGAUUAGGGACCAAUCGUGCAAUUAAACCUGUUAAUAUAACCUUCAAAGAGUAAUAUAUAUAGUACAUAACUAAGUAUGUACUUUGCAAGGCUUUUUAAUCUAUAAUUAAGUUUGAUUCAUUAUGGAUCUCUCCUUUUUCUUUUUUUUUUUGUCUUAUCUUUUUCUUUCUACAUUUAUUAAAUUUUCCAGAUAAAAUCAUUAAUUUACUUAAAAUGACUCCUGCAUCUUUUUUAAGAACAUUAUUUUGUUCACUGAAAGUUUUAUGCCUUGUCAGCAAAGUAUCAUAUGAUUUAGGCCAAUUUGCAUAAAAAAUCCACUAAUUUUGGGCUUUUGCAAAAGUGGGCCGUCUUUUUCGUUUUUGCAUAUUCGAUUUGAUUUUUCAGCAAACUGACCAAAAUGCCCUUGUACCUUUUUCUCUCUCAUCUUUUUUUUUGUCGUUCUUUUUUCCUUUCUCUUUCCAGAGAGCGGCGGAGGCGGAAACGCCACCCCUGCCCCGGCGACGUCGCCCUCGCCCACUCCGGCGACGUCACCGGCAACGAGCCCCUCUCCCCUGCCUCGACCCGAAUUCUCCGACCCUGCUGAGGCCGCGCCGCCAUCCUCUUCUCCACUAGGGCACGGCGACGUUGAGACGCAAGCUCUUCUUCUCCACCACGCGUCGAAACGCCGAGACGUCGUCGGAGGCGGCGAGAUCACCUCGGACGACGUCGCGGUGGUUGCGAUAGAAAGCAAGGGAGGGAGAAGUGGUGACAAAAAAAAAAAUUUAUAGAAAAAAAAUUUUUUUUUCUACAGAAAAGAUUAAAAAAUAUAGGAAAAGAAAGAAGAUGAUGAGAAUUGCACUCUUAAAAUAAAAUUAAACUGUUUUAAAAAAAAAUUUACACUGUUUUAAAAAAAUUGGACUAUUUGAUAUAAAAAUUACACUCUUUUGAAAUAAAUUUUACACUCUUUAGACCAAGGUUGUACCAUUUAGAAAAAUUUUACACUAUUUCUUUUUUUUCCUUUUUUUUUUUUCCUCUUUCUUCUCUUCUUCUUCUUUUUCUUCUUUCUUCUGCAGGAGCAGUUUUCCUUCUUUUUUUUUUUCCUCUUUCUCUUUUUUCUUCUUCCUGCAGGAGAAGCUUCCUUCUUCUUUUUUUCCCUCUUUUUCUUCUUCUUCUUCUUCCUCUUCCUCAUGUACGCCAAGUUCUGCCACCCCGCCACCAACCUCUUUGCCUCUCCCGCCCUCCACCCCGACGACGCCACCGCCGCCGCCGCCGUCACCGUCGGAAGCGGCGGACUCCGCAGUUCCUCCGGCAUCGACAAGACCAUCGUCGGAUCGCUUCCGUUCUUCGAAUUGUCCGCCCUCCGCAGGGACCGCGGCAUGCUGGAGUGCGCCGUAUGCCUGUCCCGCUACGACGACGACGCCGAGCUGCUCCGCCUGCUGCCGGGCUGCCGACACGUCUUCCACCUGGAGUGCAUCAACCGCUGGCUGGACGCCCACUCCAGCUGCCGGACCAAGAUCUCUGCCGUCGCCGCCGCCGCCCGCUUCAACCAGUCCGGCCGCUUCGACAACGACCGCGACCUCCUCGGCCUCUUCGUCGAGCGAGAACUCGAGGCCGCCGGUGACCUCCGCCGCUCCUCGUCGCGCUUCAGCAUCGGAGGAAGCUUCCGGAGGACCGCACCGAGUUCACCAUCAUUAAUUGCGCGGCGGGCGCCACCGCCCUCCCUAGCCGCCGCACCCACUCCAGCCGAUCCGCCACCGCCGCCGCCUCCUUUCCCCCGCCCCCACCAUCGCCAACACCCUCAUCGCCUCUGCCUCCGCCUCCAGAGCCGGCGGGUGGGUGCUGCUCCUGCAGGAAGAAGAAGAAGAAGAAGAAGAAGAAGAAGAGGAAAAAACAAAAAAAAAGCUGCUCCUGUAGGAAGAAGAUGAAGAAAAAGAAGCAGAAGAGAAAGAGGGAAAAAAAAAAAAAAAAGAAAACUGCUCCUACAGGAGGAAGAAGAAGAGAAGAAAGAGGAAAAAAAAAAAAAAAAAGAAAUAGUGUAAAAUUUUUCUAAAUGGUGCAACCUGGGCCUAAAGAGUGUAAAAUUUAUUUCAAAAGAGUGUAAUUUUUAUAUCAAGCAGUGCAAUUUUCUUUAAAACAGUGUAAAUUUUGUUUAAAACAGUGUAAUUUUAUUUUAAGAAUGCAAUUUUCAUCAUCUUUUUUCUUCUCCUAUAUUUUUUAAUCUUUUCUAUAGAAAAAAUAAUUUUUAUUUUUAUUUUUAUUAUUCUUAUUUUUUUCUAUAAUUUUUUUUUUUUGUCACCACCUCUCUCUCCCUUGCUUUCUAUCGCAACCACCGCGACGUCGUCGGAGGUGAUCUCGCCGCCUCCGACGACGUCUCGACCUUCCGACGCGUAGUGGAGAAGAAGAGCCUGCGUCUCAACGUCGCCAUGCCCUAGUGGAGAAGAGAGUGGCGGCGCGGCCUCAACAAGGUCGGAGGAUUCGGGUCGAGGCAGGGGAGACGGGCUCGUUGCCGGCGACAUCGCCGGAGCGGGCGAGGGCGACAUCGCCGGGGCAGGGGGUGGCGUUUCCGCCUCCGCUGCUCUCUGGGAAGAGAGAGGAAAAAAGAACGACAAAAAAAAGAUGAGAGAGAAAAAGGUACAAGGGCAUUUUGGUCAGUUUGCUGAAAAAUCAGACCGAAUCUGCAAAAACGAAAAAGGUGGCCCACUUUUGCAAAAACCCAAAAUUAGUGAAUUUUUUAUGCAAAUUGGCCUAUGAUUUAUGUUAUCAUGAUACUUAAUUUGAUUUAAAAAAAAAAAAAACAUGAUUUUAUAUAUUCCUUUUUUUAUACCUUCAUAUUUUACCUUUUAAUAUAUAUGAGAAAGAGCUAUACAUACAUCCAAAUAAUUGUCACAUAGCUACUAGCUAAAACCACAAAAUGCGUUCAGAAUAAUUUUCUCAAUUCAUUCACAUAUCACUUUUAGAAAUUAUAUAUUGAUCGUUUUAUCACCAAAUUGGUUUCGCUUGUAUGAGAGAUUAAUUUAUAUUCAACAUCUACAUGUUGAAGUUGCUACACAGCAGGUUCUCGUCAUUACAAUUAAUCUUGCACAUAAGAACUCUUUAAACAGUAACUAGCGACGCUUUAAAGCGUCGACAAGAAUAAUCUUGAUGCUUGUGAAAGCGUCGAGUAAAGAGUCGUUAAGUAAACAUAUCGGGAUAAAUAUACCGACGCUUUAAUAUAACAUCGAAAAAUAUUUAUCAGUAUUUAAAAAAAAUAUGUGUAUUGGCACAUGCCAAAUAUUGAAGACGUUAUAAUAGAGUAUCGUCUAAAAUGCAUCGUCUAAAACAUAUUUUAUUUUAUUGUAGUGCGUACAAUCGAUCACACCCAGAACCAAAAAAAGGUAUAAAAAAGAAGAGGAAUGAAAAAAUAUAUAUCAAUAGCAAGAUCAAAAUUUUCUAGUAUAUAUGUACAUGUACUUAACUGUAGCUUAAUUGCACAUGAAUUAAAACAUCUCAUAGAACAUGAUAAACUGUUUCCUACAAGAACCACAAGCGAGGGUUUGUUCGAAUACAUGAUCAUCAUGAAAAGAAAGAAAGAAACUAAGUCUCGUAAUGCAAGCCAUAAAGAUUAGAGAGACUCUUUAGAGCACAAACUUGCAUUUCUAGGAGGAAAAUGUACUCGGCCGUUCUCGCAAGCAACGUAUCGAUUCCUGCAUCUUCGCAUGUCGGCACGAUUCUCUUAAGCUUCCUAAGUUUCAUUUGCAUAACAUAAGAAAUGGCCUUCUCCUUUUUCCUUCUAUGAGGCACUGCUCUUCUAGUACUCCUCCUAAUAUGGAAAGAGCAAAAGGGCCUUCUCAUCUUUUAGAACGUAUUAGUUAUAUGUAGGAGAGAUCACAAAGGGCUAGGGUUUAAAUAGGAGUGUAUGAGUGUGUGUCACAUGGGUAAGCAAAUAAAACAAGAUCUAACACCAGAAAAGGCCACCAAAUAGUUAGAUGAGAACUUGGAUUUAAGUUUUGUUGGAUAAUGGUGUUGUUUAGUGUUUCUUACAUAGAAUUGGAUAAAUGAGGUACUGUUUAGGUUCUCAAGUGCACAACCAUCUUUAAUUAGAAGAAGAUUGAGUCAUAAUUCGUUUUGUUUCUAGCUCUUGAUAUACUCUUUUGACAAUUUAGAGAAAUAUAGGACAUACAAUAUUAAUUAAUUUCACUCUUUUGUUGUAUUAACAAGUUUGAGCUGAGCUUCUUAGUGUUAGAUUAAUUGCAUGUGCACAAAUGAACUUUUUUUCUUUUCUUUUCUUGUGAUUCUUCACAUGCAAUGGGGAUUGUAGUGUGGAGGAGGGGACCUUUCUUUCACAUGUUUACAGGUGGUAACCCCUUCUUGGGGAGAGAACCUAAUCUCUCUCUCUCUCUCUCUCUCUCUCUCUCUCUCUAAAAGAUGAUUUUGAUAUAUAGAAAAUGAAUACAUUUCACACCUUCCCCCAUGCAUGAUGAAUAUACCAAGUAGAGUUGAGACAUGAAAAUUUAACUUACUAAAGGUAUAUGUUACGACAAACGCAUGAAAACAAAAAUGACGAAUACAAAAUAAACAAACCAUAAAAAAAUAAAAAAAAAUACACAGAUUUACGUGAAAAACUCUUUGUAAGAAAAAAUCACGAACGAGAGAGGAGAGAACUUCACUAUUAAAAAAAGGGAAUACAAUAUCUCUGCCUAAAAGAUGAUUUUGAUUGAAAAUGAAUACAUUUCACACAUUCCCCCUUGUAUGAUGAAUAUAACGGUACAUAAAAUAAACAAAUAGAACUAAGACAUGAAAAUUCAACUUACUAAAGGUACAUAUAUGUUACGACAAACGCACGAAAACAAAAAUAACGAAUACAAAAUAAAUAAACCAUAAAAAGAAAUAAAAGAACAUAUAGAUUUACGUAGAAAACUCUUUGUAAGAAAAAAUCACGGGCGAGAGAGGGGAGAACUUCACUAUUGAAAAAAAGGAAUACAAUGCCUCUGCCUAAAAGAUGAUUUUGAUAGAAAAUGAAUACAUUUCACACCUUCCAUCGUGCAUAAUGAAUAUACUGGUACAUGAAAUAAACAAAUAGAGUUAAGACAUGAAAUUUUAACUUACUAAAGGUACACAUAUGUUACGACAAAUGCACAAACAAAAAUGAAAAUGACAAAAUAAAUAAAUCAUAAACAGAAAUAAAAAAACACAUAGAUUUACAUGAAAAUUAAAACUCUUUACAAGAAAAUCACAUGCAGAAGAGAAGAGAACUUCACUAUCAAAAAAAGGGAAUACAAUGUUCUCCAACAUCGAUAUGUUGCCUCUAUGGCAAAAAACGAAAAAAAAAAUUUAAACGGGUUUUGGAUUCGAUCCGUCUUGCCGGGAACAAAGCCCCUCAGCACCCUCUAACGAAUGUCAAUGGUGGGUUACGAUAGGCCCGAGCCCUCCAUUACUCACCACACACAUUCAUUUUUCCUUCACAAAUUUAUUUUCAAAUAUUGUACUGCGAAACUGUCGGCGAGUCGAAGUUCCGAACUGAAAUCAAUUAUCAAUUUCGAGUCACAUCUAACAAUAUAAGUGGGGAACAUCGUUCAAAUUUAUAAAAUUGAAGUCGUUUAGAAUAUUUCCUUUGAUACAAUAAUAAAUGAACUCAACUUAUAGAUGGAUCUAAUGUGCACACUUUGGAAUCUCUCUCUCUCUCUCUCUCUCUCUCUCUCUCUCUCUCUCUCGCACACUUAUAUUCCAUGAAUGGAUAUGCAUUUGGACAUGAACCCCGUGAACAAGCUCUCUCUCUCUCUCUCUCUCUCUCUCUCUCUCUCUCUCUCUCUCUCUCUCUNCACUUUGGAAUCUCUCUCUCUCUCUCUCUCUCUCUCUCUCUCUCUCUCUCUCGCACACUUAUAUUCCAUGAAUGGAUAUGCAUUUGGACAUGAACCUCUCUCUCUCUCUCUCUCUCUCUCUCUCUCUCUCUCUCUCUCUCUCUCUCUCUCGCACACUUAUAUUCCAUGCAUGGAUGCAUUUGGACAUGAACCCCGUGAACAAGCUUUUCUGUAUAUAGGAUCAGGCCUAGGUACAUCACAGUCGCAAUACUAUUCCUGCAUCUGUAGUGAACACUAUUCAAUAUGCCUUCAAUCAGUUUCCUUGUUAACAUCCAUGCAUGUGAGCUAAGAAGAUAAUAAUCUUUUUGAGGCAUUUUAAUUGGCUUAGUGUUUUGUUUUGUUAAACCUUUGUGAUUAACUAAUUAAUUAACUUGUGGUCUUUCACCAGUCAUUAGUUCGCGUAAAAAAUAAAUAAAUAAAUAAAUAAAUCGAUCGGGCCCAAAGGACGUAAGGUCCAAUUAAGUUUUGGGCCGUCGAUUUCAAACCUCUCAAAUGUGGUCCAAUCCAAAAUUUCCCUAAUGUAACGCGAUAGGCAUAUUUGUUUCACUGAAAGUAGAGUAUGCGAAAUUAUUUUUAAUCUUAAUCUACUUCCGUUGUUCAAUUUGCCGUAAAAGAAAUUCGCCCGUAAUUUCACUCUUCCAAAUACCAUAGUGAUGUUGCAGUCAACUACGACAGAAAUAAUAAUAAUAAUAAUAAUAAUAAUUGUAAUUGUAAUAUUUUUAUCCUGCUAUAUACUAGUGUGAAAAAUUUUAGUAAAGUAAAACAGUGAGGUAAUUAUAGUUCUAAAAUCAUUGACUUUCAAUUCAAAAUAUUUGUGAUUUUUUUAACUUGAAUUUCAGUUCAAAAGUUAUUUUCAAUCUGAAAAUUACUUAUGGGCAAGUAAAUAGACAAUUAGGUCAAAAAGAGCUGGAACGAACGCACCACUGAGAUAACACUUUGGUGUUGUAUGAGAUUGCAGAUAAGAUGAGAAAAAAAAAAGUGUGCUUUUUUUUAGAGAUAGAAAGAUAAUAUGCUAUUCGCUUAGUUUAUUUUUUAAAUAAAAUAUACUUAUCUGAAAAUGCGAAGCUAGCAGACUUCGAACUGAACCUCCGAAUAUCAACCAUUAUAUCCUUUGCUACUUGCGCCAGUAAAAAUCGUGGGGUUCAUUUUAUAAUUGCCUGUAGUUUAUUGCAUUCUAUUUAAAUAAAUUUGUGUAUAUUGUCUUUUGCUUGCUUUUGGCAUCUUUUUAAUGUUAUUAACUUAAAUCCAAAGUAUAAAAAAAAUUAUCAAAAUAUUAAAAAAUAUAUUUUACACUUCUUCAAAAUAAGAAUGAUUUGAUUGAAAAGGAAAUCUUGAUUUCUAAUGGUGCAAUAAUGCAUCUUUUUCAAAAUAUAAAACAUAUGUCGAAAAGUGAUUCUAAACGAUUAUAUUUGUUAUUAUUAUUUUGGCUAGAUUGUAGAAAUUUUUUUACAAAUAUUCAUUUUUUCACUUUUCGUCGGUAACUUUCAAAAAAAUUAUAGUUUACUUUCUGAACAUUUCGGGUUGUUAUAUUUAAUCUCUCCAUCAGAAUUUCAUUACUAUUCAAUCUAUUUCUUAUAAUUUAUAUUAAAAAUAUUUUUCAAAAUAAUAAAAAAAUAUUAAAAAAUUAUCUUUUUAUAGAAAAAUUAAGAAAUCUUCUGUAAUUUUAUAUAAAAAAAAGCAUAUUAUUUUUAUUUUUAUAUUUACUUAUUAUUUUAUAUUUGAUUUUUUUAAAUAAAAAAAUAGAUCCGCCCCUGAUAUUGUUCCAACUCUUUCGAUCCGAUAGUGUCGUCCAACGGAUUCUAUAUCGGAUCGUACGAUAUCGCUAUCGGAUCAUGUGAACCGUCCGAAUUAAUUAAUUAAAGAAAACCGGAUGCUGACAAAAGGAGGAGGAAAACCACGGGCGGGUUACGUCGGCGGAGUUUGCCCGACCCGGUAAAAUCUAAACGCCGCUUUUGUUUCUGCUCACUCGCACUACCCACAACUCACGUUAAGGUAAAAAAGCACAUUGAUCCCUCAACUAUAGGCUAAUUAGAAAUAUAGUGCUACUUAUUAGGGAUGUCACGGGGCCGGAUUCGCGCCAGAGUUUUCAAAACCCGAAUCAGAACCCAAAUUUGAAUCUGAAAUUCGAAUCCGAAUCCAAACCCCACUGAUUUUGAAAAUUCAUGUUCAAAUUUGAACUUUGACCAAAAACCUAAAAUUCGAACCCAAACUCGAGUCCAAUCCCAUAAUAGUUAUUUUUCUUUAUUAUAUUUCAAAACAUACUAUACUAAAAUCUAAUUUUUAAAAUAUAAGUGCAAAAAUAAUACCAAACAUAUAUAUAUAAUGUAAACCAACUGGUGUUCGGGUUUGGGUCCGGGUUCGUGUUCAGAACUUCAGAUUUGGGUUCGGAUUCGGUUCAAGUUCAAAUAGAGGCAAAAUUCAUACCCAAAAUCUAAAUUUUGUUUGAUUUUUUUUUCAUAUCCGUAUUAAAAAAUGUAUCUAUUUAUCGUUAGAUAAACUUGUCUCAUUCGGAUUAAAUUUUGAAUAUCCGUGCUCAUUAAAAUUCCUACUACUUGUAUACAUUUUACGCUCUAUCCAUUAUAUGUAAAGGGUGACCAUUACUGGUUAUACUAGUAGGUAUUUAUGGCUUGAUAUUAUUUUAUUUAUUAGCAUUAUAUCGAUCUCAAUACGAAAGUCCUUCCAUUUGAAUUUAAAUUUGCCCUUUAGGCACUGACGUGACAGACAGAUUUUUUUUUUUUUGAAAAAUAAAAAGUCGUAGAAUAUUUUUUGUUGGUCUAUCAAUUUUUGGCCCACUAAAAAUUCUAAUUCAGCAAGACGAAGCUUCAUUUGCUUAUUCUAAGUGCGGUUCUCAUGUACUAUAUUAUUUGAAAAUAGCCACGGAACACCUUGCUUGGAAUUAAAUUUAUUUUUUUAACAAAAUUUUGUAUGCCCAAAAGUGUAGGCGUAAAUAAUAAAUUAUUUAUAGCUAUUUCAUCCAAAAAAUUUAUUUGAUAAUAAAAAUUAAAUAUUUUUAAAUAUUUUUUUAAAAAUCUUUCCACAAAUAUAUCAAAUUAUAUAUAAUUUACUAAAAUCACUUGACCAAAAUAUUUAAUAAUUGAGGUCAUUUCACUUAAAUAAUUACAAAGCCCCCAAGAUUNNNNNNNNNNNNNNNNNNNNUUUUUUUUUUUUUUUUUUGUCACACUACUUAAAUGUAAGAAUAACCACACUCAAUUAAUUGCUUCUAUACUGUACAAAUGUAUAAGAAUAAUUUUUUAAUAUUUAAUAUAUAUAUAUAUAUAUAUAUAUAAGAUUAGCAUAUUAUCUAUAUUGCUCCUGAUCGAAUACUUUCUAUUUGACAUGAAGAUAAAAAAAAUAAAAAAUUUUAAUAAAGUACAGGGCUUAUUUCAAAAUAUCUUAUACUUAAUAGAGAUUACACAAAUCUCUUCUUCGGUCAUCACGAACCCUUCAUCCAACUAAUUCGUCCAAACGAACGGCCACGAUUGACAGCGCAAAAUUAGUUAAAAUCUUCCGCGAGUUAUUUUACCAAGAUGUUCGCCUAUACCGAGAAUAUCCCGACAUUCCCACCCUCUCAUCUCUCUCUCACUCUGAGAACUCAUCUCUCUCUCGUCCGCUUCUUCGCCCCACCCCCGCUGCGCUCCCGAGCGAAUCCAUGGCGCGAUCCUGCGACCACGAGUGGAGACCCCCCGUCGCCACGGCGGAGCCCCCCCGUGCGGCGGCGGCGACGGCGGCGGUGGCGGUGGCGAAGCCGAAGGGCGGCGCACGGCUCCUCUCCUUCCUCAUCCAGGGCGCGGUCAUGGUGGUGGCGCUCGCCCUCUUCUUCCUCUUCGCUGGGGUCGCCGCACUCAUCCUCCUCCACCUCUUCGUCGCCGGGAGGGCCUUCCGCCGCCGCCGCCGCCGCGUCACCGCCACCCGCGGCGCAGCCGCCGCCGCCGACGGCGGCGUUGACGACGGGCCCCUGCGCGGCCUCUCCCCCGCCGAUCUCCGCCGCCUCCCCUGGUUCGAGUACUCGCCGUCGCCGCCGCCGCCGCCGCCGCCGCCGCCGCCUCCCGAUUGCGUCGUGUGCCUCGAGGGGAUCCGGGCGCGGGAGCGGUGCCGUGCGCUGCCCCCCUGCGGCCACGUUUUCCACGCCGCGUGCGUCGAUCGGUGGCUCGUGAAGUCCCCGGCGUGCCCGAUCUGCCGCGCCGCCGUUUAGGCGGCGGGGGAGGAGAUCGCGCGAACGCCACGGCGAUGGGUUUGAUCUUCCCCCUCUCCCUUUCUCUGUUUCGAUCUCGAUCGCCUUGUAAUUUAAUAUUACUAGUUGUUUACUGCUAGGGUUUAUUCGCCGUGUACAAAAGAAACGGUCAUGAUGGCACCUUCUAGUCAAUCAAACCCUCUUUUCCACGAAAGAAUCAAACAAUUAGCCCUUUAUGGUUUCUACUCAUUCGUUUUUCUAUUACUUUUUCUUAACAACUUUUCUAGUAGGGAUGGAUUAAUAAUAGUAGUUCCUUGGAUUAAUAGUUUAGUUUUGCUAAUGGUGUAAGAGCUGUGAUUAAGUGAGCUAAUAAUGUGCAGUACAAAAGCUUAGGCAGGGUAGUAUCUUUCGGAUGUAAUGAAAGAUGUUUUAGUCCCUAACUCCAUAUGGUAUUUAAUUUCGGUUUAGAUUUGCUGUGCUUAGCUAUUGACAAGUUCGCCUAUCAAAUUUUGGAUAUAUUUGAAUGAAACUACAAUUAAUGUUUGUUUGAGUGAUUUUUGAAGAACGGAGUGAAAUUUGGGGAUGUAAGUAUUGUGUCAUUAUAUUUUUUAACUGCUUGUACAGACGGUAGCUAGAAUUAAUUUCUGUUGUUAGAGUACCUUACAAACCCUUCUGGCGUAUUUGGACUCAUAGUAGUGUCAGAGAUUAGGGGAAGUAGUAAACCAUUGAUCAGUGUUCGUAUCACUAAAGGAAGCUAACAGAAUUUCAUCUUUCUAAAGGAAAUGAUGAUUUUUGCUUGGCAAAUGGUGUUAUUUGAUUGUACUCGAAUUCGGACCUUUUUAUCGUGUUAUGAAGGUUUGGUGGUGAGAUAAAAAGAUCGUUGUUGCCUUCCGAGUUCAGCGUCAUUUUUUUAUGUUGGAUCUUCGUAAUCUUUUUUGGUAUGAUGAUCUGGUAGCUUGCUGGAAUGGAAGUUCCAAAAUGCCUAUAGAAGGUUUAGAGGAGCAAUAAGGUGCUCAAUGGAAGGAAGAGAACCCUGUUAAUAAAUUGCAAAAUAGAAGGGCACCAUCGGUUUAUGUUAGCUUGCUCGAACCUCUCUCUGGGGCGUAGACAGCCAAGAAGCUAAUGAGAAGUAUAAAAAACGGAAGAAAAAUAAAAGAGAUAUCCCCAAGUUUGCAUGUUUUCCCCACUCUUGGAGAUCUGCCCAUCUUACAUGCACACUUGCCUCGCAUGCUCGCGCACACAUCUUGCUAAAAAUUGCGAGUAUCGAUUCAACAAUACGUCUUUGUGAACCGAGCUACAUGUAUUUAUCAUAAUCACCUACGUCUGGCUGCAUUAUCACCCACAUCACCCAAACUAUGUAAAGUUAAUAAUGAUUUGCUUUUGGCAACAAACCAUAUAUAUGUUAUAGGCACCUUUGACAUGAGUUUUUGAAAUCGUCUUUGCAUCAUCUUCGGUAUAGUGAUAAUAGAGAAAUGAUUACACUAAUCGCUCUGUUCGUGGGGAGUUAUAGUGGAAAGAAGAAGGAAGGUAACACAUAGAAAGAGUUCUACUUACAUACAGAGGUUAAAGCAUCUUUAAUUAUAUAGGAAAAACUUCAAAUACCAUCCCUGUGGUUUCAUACGUUCUCACUUUAGUACCCUACGGUUUAAAGUAUAUCAAUUUAGUGCCAUGUGGUUUCAUUUUUAUCUUUUUAUUAUCGAUUCCACUAAUUUUUUUUAUUAAAUCAGUGACAAAGUUAAAACUAAAGAGUACUAAAGUGAAUAUUCGAUAAACCUAGACGGGGUAUCUAAAAUUUUUUGAAUAUAAUUUAAUGAAAUAUUAACGGAAAAACUGACGAAAAGAUAAAAAUGAAACUACAGGACACUAACUUGAUACACUUUAAACCACAGGGCACUAAAGUGAGAAAGUGCGAAACCACAUGAGUGGCAUUUGAAGUUUACCCUUGUGUAUAUAUAUAUAUAUAUAUAUAUAUAUAUAUAUAUAUAUAUAUAUAUUACUGGAACUUGUUUAUCUAAUUUUUGUGGAGCUAACUACUUGUACUGUCCUUCCAAAAUGUGUCCCAGAACUUACUGAUACAAUGGAAAAUAAACUUGUCUCAUCUCAUCUAAACAUUAUGGCGUAGUCGUGAUUAGCAGGUUCUUAACAUGCUCUAUUAACUAGAACUACUAGCUCAAAUGGUCGAUUAGGAAUGCUACUUUUAUUUCCUAUUGCGUGAUCUGUGACAAGUAGUUGUAACUCGAUACAAGUUAAGAUAGAACUCUGACUGGAGUCAGGUGGGGCUUUAAGUGGUCUGAUAUUUUUUCAGAGGGGAACAAAUAUUGCCUUUUUUUGGUUAAAAGAAAAGAUAGUUAUUGUUUGUUACCCUCUUGUCUGAUAUGUCAGCAACUCUCUGGUCUCAUAGGCAUCAGAGAACGAGCAGUAUACUCUUUAGGGUGCGUUUGGUUCGCAUUAUGAAAGAUUACUAGGAAUAAAAGAUAUCCAAGAAUCUUAUUCCUAUUCAUCCUAUUACUAAGAAUGUGAAAUUUCUGUGUUUGGUUCGCACGAUAAUAUUAAUUAGUCAUGUUAUUUAAUAUUACAAAAAAUAUACAAUUAAUUAAUUAAUUAGUUUAUUUAAUUUUAGAUAAUGUUACCAAAAGUUUCAACAUCGUUUUAGAAAAAAGGGAGAGAGAGUAUAAGUUAGAGAGAGCGCAUAAUUAAAAAAAUAGAAAGAAAAAUAUAGUCGAAAUUAGAGGGAGUGAGAGAGUUGAAAUUUUAGAGAGAGAGAGAGCGCUUAGUUUAGAGAGAGAAAAAAAGUUGAAUUUUAGAGAGAAAAAUAAGUUUUAGAGAGAGAUAUAAGGUUAGAGUGUAAAGAAAAAUAAUAUCAAUUAGCCUACGGGUAGGAAGAAAGAAAGAUAUUAGACAUAUUAUGAUUACCUCAAUCCAUUAAUAUGAGGAUACCCAUCCUCCCUCAAAGAAAUGAGAUUAGUACUUUGGGGUGAAUCUUAUUCCCAAGUGAAUCCAAUAUUACCAACUAGAUUACUUAGUGCGUUUAGCCAAACACCGUCAUAUUUUUUUAUUCUCAUUGGAUUAUUAGGAAUCUUUAAAAGAUAGCGUGAACCAAACGCACCCUUAUGGUAAUCCUAGCAGUGUCGUGAAAUAAAAUGAAAGCUCUUGUGUGUGUUUG